UUAAAAAAAAAAUCUCUAACUCCUACAAGCAUCACAUGCUGGACGUUUGUUCAAUGAGCUUUUCUGAGUAAGGUUUGGCAAUCAGCAAGAACAUUAUAUUGGAUUUCAUGGUCAGUGCUCCAAACAUGAUUGCUCAUCCAGCAUUUGACCAUUGCUUUUUUAUGCACAUUUAAAGAGAAGAUACCCUUUCAGAUCCUGUUUGGUGAAGAAAAGGUACUAUUCAUAUUAUUUUGUUAUUAUUUAUAGGGUCAUGAUACAAUAAAUGUUUCUGUGGCAUGCCUAUGAUCUCUUGGUACACAGGGAACCUAGUUAUGUGCCCUUUUUUGGUUGCCCCUGGAAAUCAAAAUAAAGUAAACUUUUUGACAAUUGGAAUUCCACCAUAUGACCAUCGACCCAGAUAAAUAGCUAUGUCAUUCACAAGAGCACUCGAAAUCUUCCCUAUUUAAAAGCUGUAUAUGUCUUUGUGGCAAACCUAGCCACUCGGACUAUAACUGGACACUAUGCCUUUAAGGGUUGCCUAUAGGUCUGGAGAGAUAUGCAUUUUAACCUGUAUGUGUCUGCUUCAUGUAUUUCCUGCAUUACCUGUACUUAUCUGUUCCGCCGAAUGCAAAUGGCGGUUUGUAUGGGGAUUCCCGUUCGUUUCACGAACGGCACUUUGGAGGGCCAUUCGUGAACCGAACGCGAUACCCCCUAAUAGCCCACACACUUAGAGGCGUGUGGCGCUAGUUAACUGAUUGCAACAUUGUUGCAAUCGGUUAUUAGAGGCUCUCCUGGGUGGCCGUCGUUCGACUACCGACCAGCGGCGGUCGGCCAUCUUGGAUCCUUUGUUCCCUCAGCGGGGUUAUGUCGUCGAGCGCCUGGUACUAAAAACGGCUACUCGACGGCAUGAGCCCCGCUGAGCCUCCAGGGCGUUCGGGAGUUUCGGGACAUUCGGUAUUUUGUUCCCUAAAAGCAAUCGGUUCUUUUUGUAUGUUUUAUACGAAUUGUGUUGUUCGUGCGGCGUUCGGUUAUUUUAGCUGGGAUCUGAGCGGUAAUCUCACGAAUGAUACCCUCAGACCCCAGCUAUCUACCGAACGUCCAUUCGUGUAAAUCCCCUGUAUAUUCCCCAAGUUAUGGAUUUUUAUGUGAAUUGUCGGUUCUGCUGCACGAGGGGAUAAUCCACUUAACGGUGCAUUCUGGGAAGAUUAUCCCUCUCGUGCAGCGGUGCCUGAUGGGAGAAAUAUGUUGUAAUGUAAGUCCCCCAUGUAGUCCCCUCUGGGAGUGCCCCUGGGGAGGGACUCAGGAAACCCCUUGCAUGGGGACUUGUAUAAAUUGUCCUGCUGAUUAAAAGGUUGUCAGUUGACUCCCAGCCUAUGUGUCGUCUAGUUCUUGGGAAGGAAGGGUUACUACAGUGCUGUCUGGAUUAUUGUAUGCUGAUUCCCUGGAUUAUUUUAUGUUGUUCCUGUUACCCAGCGGAGAUAUCGUGGAUUAUACUGCCUCUCCGCUACAAUUGGUGGCAAGCGACGGGAUUGAAUUUACACAGCAAAGCAACGUUCGGCAGAUUUUUAAACGAAUCAAGGAACAGGCAUUCGGGAAUUAGCGCAUUCGAAUAAACCUCACGAACAGCAGGUGAAUGGGAACAAAUUAUGCCCUGCUAAAACGGAGCACAUUAAAGGAGCUGCUGGAAGCAAGAGGAGCAAUCGCCAGUAACAAGGCAAAGGCUGUCUUAAUUACAGAGCUCAUGGAAGGAGACAGAGCCGCAGCUGCUGCAGCAUCUCACAUGGAGGGAGAAACCCACGAAUUUACAGCUGAAUUCCGAGCACGAAUGGCUUUAUUCCUUGAACCCCCAUCUGCAGAGAUGGUUAACAGGCUGUUCGGAGAUGUACAGGAGUACAUUAUGGCUAGGAGACCGCAAGGGAACCAGCAAGCCGGGGAAAGAGCCGCAACGCCAGUACAUAUUCUCCCAGGGAAAGCCAAAAUCCCAUAUCAAGCCUUCAAAAGCUAUGUGGAGACAGAGGGUGGCGUUGACGACUAUUUACAGGACUUCGAGAGACUGUGUUUGCUGCACGAAAUUAACGAUGCAGACAGAGUACCCCUACUAGCGGGGAGAUUAUCUGGGCGAGCCGCUGAAGCGUACCGGGCAGUACCAGACGAGGACAGUAGAGACUACGCUAAAUUAAAACGGGCCAUUCUAGCCCGGUAUGCCAUCACAUCAGAGGCGUACCGAAAGAAGUUUCGGGACAUUAAAAAACCCACUAAAGACACCCAUGUAGAAUGGGCGCACCAGCUGCAACGAGCUGCCAAGGGGUGGCUGGAGGCCACCCAAGUUGAUACAUUGGAGGGUCUGUUCCAGCUAAUGGUACUGGAGCAAUUCUUCAAUGGCGUCCCGACCUACCUACAAAACUGGAUUCGGGACAGAAAGCCACACACCCUGCAGGAAGCGGCUAAUAUGGCAGACGAUUUCCAGGACAAUCGGAGAGAUCAACCCGUACCAACCCGAGCCGUCAUCCCCCCUGCAACGACCAGCACUCCAGGGGGCCCCGCAACUCACCAGCGACCAGGGGUAAGCCAGAAUUCCUACCCCCCCAGGUAUUCAGCACGUCCACCAAUCCGGUGCCAUACCUGCAACCAACAGGGGCACAUCCAGAGAGACUGCCCACGGAACCGGCCUCGACCCAACUGGAAUAACGCAGCCCCGAGCAACCGUGCCGCAGUCCACUGUAUACAGGCCGAAUCCUACCAGAAUCUGGAGCUGGGGACAACCCAGGAGGAACCCCUCGGCACCCUACACGAGGUGAACCCUAUCCAGGCCGCCUCCGAUAACCGCCAAGGGCACCGCCAGGAAGUACACAUGGAGGGGAGGAAAGUACAAGGACUUCGUGACUCUGGAGCCACCCUAACUCUAGUACGCAGUCAUCUGGUACCAAAGCCCAAGCUCACGGGGGACUGUGUGGCUGUGCGGGUGGCUGGGGGAGCCAUUUACAAAGUACCCACGGCCAAGGUGCACUUGAAUUGGGGAGCGGGGCACGGGAAUGUAUAUGUGGGGAUGAUGCAAGACUUGCCAGCGGAUGUAAUUUUGGGCAACGAUUUGGGGGAGCUGACUUCAGCUUUUGUUCCACAGCCCACCGUACAAGAAGCAUACCCGGUUGUGACCCGGCAACAGGCCCGCACCACAGCACCAUCCGAACACUCUGAGGCUCAGGUAAGCAAUUACCCUCCCCUACCCCCUAUCAUGCCCUGGGCCAAUUCCAUAGAGUUCGGGGCCGAAGUAGCCCUAGAUCCUUCGUUACAGGUAUACAAAGACCGCAUUGAUAAAGAUCAAGCCGGGUUAGAGGGGGAAAGAUAUAUCUGGGACAAAGGACUACUAUAUCGGCACGCAGAGAAGGUAGUGUCCGGGUCAAUACCGUUGCCCAUUAAACAGCUAAUAGUGCCUCGAAAAUAUAGGUUAGAGCUGUUACGCAUAGCCCAUGAUAUCCCCCUGUCUGGACACCUAGGCAUCAGUCGGACCAAGCACAGGCUGACCCAAAAUUUCUUUUGGCCAGGUAUUUCCCAGGAUGUUAGGCGAUAUUGUCAGACCUGUGAUACCUGCCAAAGGGUAGGCAAGAGAGGGGACAGAUACAAAGCACGACUACGGUCUCUGCCCAUCAUUGAAGAACCAUUCAGUAGGGUGGCAGUAGACAUCAUAGGUCCCCUCGCAAAGCCCAGCCCCUCUGGCAAGAAGUAUGUCCUAACCGUGGUGGACUACGCCACCCGAUACCCCGAGGCAGUGGCCCUAACUAACGUACACGCAGAAACGGUAGCCGAGGCCCUGACGAGGAUAUUCACCCAGGUAGGAUUUCCCCGGGAGAUUAUCUCCGAUAGAGGCACCCAGUUUACUGCUGAAGUGACCCAUCAGCUCUGGAAAAUAUGUGGGAUACAACAAAUCCUGAACUCCCCAUAUCACCCCCAGUCCAAUGGGCUCUGUGAACGGUUUAACGGAACCCUGAAACAAAUGAUCCGCACGUUCAUGGACACCCAAAAAGACUGGGAGAGGUUUUUACCCCACCUACUGUUCGCGUAUCGAGAAGUGCCGCAAGAAUCCACCGGAUUCUCUCCGUUCGAAUUAUUAUUCGGGAGGAGAGUGAGGGGACCUCUUGACUUGAUACGGGAACACUGGGAGGGAGACGAAACCAUUAAUGGCACCCCUAUCUUACCAUAUGUGCUCGAGUUCAGGGAACGCCUGGAGAGGCUAACCCAGACCGUCCGAGACAAUCUCCAGGUAGCGCAACAGCGACAGCGCCGAUGGUAUGAUAAGGGAGCCAGGGACCGCAGCUUCCAGGUGGGGCAGAAAGUCCUAAUCUUGCGACCCGUCCACAAAGAUAAGCUGCAGGCUUCCUGGCAGGGCCCAUACAAAGUGGUGGAACAGAUCUGUGACACCACCUAUGUGAUCGGCCCGGUUACCGGCGUGGGAGGCAAACGCAUGCUACAUGUGAACAUGCUCAAGCCAUACCACGAACGUACUGAGGAAGUCACCGCAAUCUGUGCCCCUGCCACGGAAGAUUUUGAUAACCUACCCCUUCCCGAUCUCCUAGACCAAGAGGGCCAGAGCGGAGAUCUGGGAGAGGUACAGUUAGGAGAAAGAUUAAAUGCCCAAGAGCGGGCCCAGGUACAAAGGUUGCUUCAGGAAAAGAAGGCCACGUUUUCCAAUUUACCCGGCUAUACCCCUUUGGCUACCCAUAAGGUAGAAACUUUAGAUCAGACCCCUUUGCGCCAACCCCCAUACCGCACUCCAGAAGCAGUCAAAGAAAGUAUGCGCAAGGAAAUUGAGGAGAUGAUUCAGUUAGGAGUAAUAGAGCACUCGGACAGCCCCUGGGCCUCCCCGGUAGUACUGGUGCCAAAACGGGACGGGACGACCCGUUUCUGCGUAGACUACCGACGGCUCAACGAUAAAACGACCUCUGACGCAUAUCCCAUGCCCCGAAUAGACGAACUCCUCGACAAGAUGGCCAGGGGUCAAUACCUAACCACUAUAGACCUGUGCAAAGGGUACUGGCAGAUUCCAUUAGCGGAAGACGCCAUUCCUAAGUCGGCCUUUGUCACCCCGUUUGGCUUGUAUCAGUUUAAGGUCAUGCCAUUCGGGAUGAAAAACGCUCCAGCUACCUUUCAGAGAAUGGUGGACAGAUUAUUAGAUGGGUUCCAGGAGUAUGCCUGCGGGUAUCUAGAUGAUAUCGCCAUAUUCAGCCACUCCUGGCACGAACAUCUGGUUCACAUAGGAGCCAUUCUAGACCGAAUCCGAGAGGCCGGACUGACCCUAAAACCCAGCAAAUGCCAUAUCGGUAUGGCGGAAGUCCAGUACCUAGGGCACCGGGUAGGGAGUGGACAGCAGAAACCCGAACCUGCCAAAAUAGAGGCAGUCGCCCAAUGGCCUACCCCUCGCACCAAGACCCAAGUGCUCGCCUUUUUAGGGACCGCCGGGUACUACCGGAAGUUUGUGGCCAACUAUAGCGCCCUUGCCAAACCCCUCACAGACCUGACCCGCAAGAACCUCCCUAAGUUAGUAGUCUGGGCCCCAGAGUGUGAGCAGGCGUUCCAACAGCUCAAGACGGCGCUUGUUAACUCUCCUGUACUUUCUGCUCCUGAUCCAACUAAACGCUUUCUCGUCCACACAGACGCUUCUAUGUUUGGAUUGGGAGCAGUACUGAGCCAAGUUGGACCCGAUGGCGGCGAGCACCCCGUAGCUUACCUAAGCCGAAAACUUUUACCCAGGGAAGUAAGCUACGCCGCCAUUGAAAAGGAGUGCCUGGCUGUGGUGUGGGCCCUCAAAAAGUUGCAACCCUACUUAUACGGGCAACCCUUCACUUUACUCACGGAUCACAACCCGUUGGUGUGGCUGAACAGGGUGUCCGGAGACAAUGCCAGGCUGCUGCGCUGGAGUUUGGCGCUGCAGCCUUUUGACUUUACUAUCCACUACCGCCCUGGGAAGCAAAAUGGCAACGCCGACGGGUUGUCUAGACAAACAGACUUGGAGCCGUGAUUCGUGAGUACUCCUCCGGACAUCCCCAAGCCGAUCCGUUGGGAUCAGACUGUGUAUGCCGGCUUGGUUCUGGGGGAGCAUUGUGGCAAACCUAGCCACUCGGACUAUAACUGGACACUAUGCCUUUAAGGGUUGCCUAUAGGUCUGGAGAGAUAUGCAUUUUAACCUGUAUGUGUCUGCUUCAUGUAUUUCCUGCAUUACCUGUACUUAUCUGUUCCGCCGAAUGCAAAUGGCGGUUUGUAUGGGGAUUCCCGUUCGUUUCACGAACGGCACUUUGGAGGGCCGUUCGUGAACCGAACGCGAUACCCCCUAAUAGCCCACACACUUAGAGGCGUGUGGCGCUAGUUAACUGAUUGCAACAUUGUUGCAAUCGGUUAUUAGAGGCUCUCCUGGGUGGCCGUCGUUCGACUACCGACCAUGCGGCGGUCGGCCAUCUUGGAUCCUUUGUUCCCUCAGCGGGGUUAUGUCGUCGAGCGCCUGGUACUAAAAACGGCUACUCGACGGCAUGAGCCCCGCUGAGCCUCCAGGGCGUUCGGGAGUUUCGGGACAUUCGGUAUUUUGUUCCCUAAAAGCAAUCGGUUCUUUUUGUAUGUUUUAUACGAAUUGUGUUGUUCGUGCGGCGUUCGGUUAUUUUAGCUGGGAUCUGAGCGGUAAUCUCACGAAUGAUACCCUCAGACCCCAGCUAUCUACCGAACGUCCAUUCGUGUAAAUCCCCUGUAUAUUCCCCAAGUUAUGGAUUUUUAUGUGAAUUGUCGGUUCUGCUGCACGAGGGGAUAAUCCACUUAACGGUGCAUUCUGGGAAGAUUAUCCCUCUCGUGCAGCGGUGCCUGAUGGGAGAAAUAUGUUGUAAUGUAAGUCCCCCAUGUAGUCCCCUCUGGGAGUGCCCCUGGGGAGGGACUCAGGAAACCCCUUGCAUGGGGACUUGUAUAAAUUGUCCUGCUGAUUAAAAGGUUGUCAGUUGACUCCCAGCCUAUGUGUCGUCUAGUUCUUGGGAAGGAAGGGUUACUACAGUGCUGUCUGGAUUAUUGUAUGCUGAUUCCAUGGAUUAUUUUAUGUUGUUCCUGUUACCCAGCGGAGAUAUCGUGGAUUAUACUGCCUCUCCGCUACAGUCUUCCCUUGUGACCGAGGCUAACCCUAUUCUGUAUUCUACGACCCUCCCAAGAACCACAUAUAGUUAAAGUAACUGUGUACACAAAAAUAAUUAAAAUACAGUUUUACAUUUUACAAGGCUUCUUAAAAUCCCCUAUCUUAGCAAACAAAUAUAGGGAUUCAAGUUACACCACAGACCAUAAUGUGUUAAACCCAUUACUAGGUCACAGUACCCCAAUAUUGGUGGGUCCUCCCAAGAACUAAAUGCAUGGUAUCCUGCAUGCUGGGGUUCAUUGAAUCAUAAUUCACAACAAAGUGGAGGAUAUAGGGCAACCUGAAAACUGUGCCAUUUGUUUGGCUAGAGUCACGCUAAUCCAGAUGUCUAACAGGGUAUGUGGCCCAUCUUAAUACUAUGACAAGCACAAAUACUAGUUCAAAUCCAAGUUAUCCUGCACAAUAUAUGAUUUGAGUCCAUGAUAUAUGCAGGGAGCUUCAAAUGUUAUUGUAUAUUUCACAGAGAGAAUACAGCAUGAAUGGACAAACAGACAAAAAAAAAAAAAAGUGAGGUUUGCUCAAUGACGCUAUAUGGUGAAACUAUUGAUGUCAAUAUAGAAUGAGAUUCAUUCUCCCCAUUGACAAUAUAGCUGUGAAUGAGUUUCUUUUUGCAUGCAUGGAGGCUCUGGAGGAUUAUGAGAUUUAUACUUCCCAACUGUGCCUAUUUAGGAGAAACAGUUCCUAUUUAGGGCCCAAAUCCAUCUGCCAAGGUCAACUUGUAGCUAAAUACAGUAUGAAGUAAAAUAAUGACAGAUGUGUAGCGCUUCUGAUUAUUCUUGUAGCUUGCACAAAGGGUGUAAAUAGGUGUUUCCCUACACCUUAGUAAUAAACCACAAUAGCAUACACAAUGUGACAAAACACAAAUUAAACUACACCCUUAUAGUCAUGGUCGGACUGAGAGAAAAAUUCGGCCCGGCAUUUCUUUAUCACAGCGGCCCACUAAGAAGGGGGCGGGGCAGAAAGGGUGUGUUUCAUCAUCACCAAUGACACACACGCCCCCUCUCAAAGUGAGCAUGUUGGUUCAAUGCUCUUCCAGGGCAGACCAUGCGCAGAGCUCUGCUAAAGAGCUCUAGCAUGAGAAAAAAAGCCAUGUAUUUGUUCUACACAGUGCAAGCAAAUGUAAUGAAAUGCUUGCACUGUGUUUCCUUGCAACCUGUCUCUAGUGUCUCUAUAAAUGGAUACCAGGAAAGAGUAUUGUGCAUGUGUUUGGAGCCUGCUUGUGGGAUUGGGUGUGUGUAGAGUGAGCUGAUUGAGGUGUGGUAUUGUGUAAUAAGGUCGGUUUUAGUCGUGUUGUGUUUUUGGUGUAAUGUAAUGCAUAUGUGGCUAGGGCCUGUAAAGAAUGUGUGUAUAGGGGAUGUAGUUAGUGUGUGCAUACGGGCUAUAGUGUGUGUGUGUAUAUAGGUGAUGUAGUGUUUGUAGGGGUUGUAGAGAGUGUGUGUUUUAGGGUUUAGUAUGUUUACAAGGAAUCUAGUGUGCGUAUAAGGGAUCCCGAAUGUAUAUUUUAGGAAUAUAAUAUGUGUGUAAGUGGUGCAGUGUGUGUGUGUGUGUGUGUGUAUACAGGAGUCUAGUGUGUGUUUGAAGGACCCAGAAUGUGUAGGAGAUCUAGUGAAUGUGUGUAUAUAACGGAUUCAGAGUGUAUAUAGGGAACUAGUGUGUGUGUAUGCUCCAGAGUUGGGUAAGGGAUCUAGUGUGUGUCUGGAAUGGAAUGUGUUUAGGAGUGCAGUAUGUGUGUAAGGGGUUCAGUGUGUGUGAGGGGUGCUGUAGUAUAUAUAUAUAUAUGUUUGGAAGUAUUGUGUGUGUGCGUGUGUGUGUUUGGUGCAGUGUGUUGGGAUUCUGUGUGUAUGUGUGAGGGGUGCAGUGGGUGUCUGUGAGGGGUGUAGUGUGUAUUUGAAGGGUGCAGUAUGUGUGUGUGAUGGUUGCUUUGUUUGAGGGGUGCUGUGUGUGAUGUGUGGGUGUUGUGUGUGAUGUGUGUGUGUGGGUGCUGUGUGUGAGGGUGCUGUGUGUAAGGGAGCUGUGUGUGAGAGUGCUGUGCGUGAGGAUGCUGUGUGUGAUGUGUGUGAGGGUGCUGUGUGCGAUGUGUGUGUAAGGGUGCUGUGUGUGAGGGUGCUGUGUGUAAGGGUGCCGUGUGUAUGAUUUGUGUGUGAGGGUGCUGUGUGUGAAGGUGAUGUGUGUGAGGGUGAUGUGUGUGAUUUGUGAGGGUGCUGUGUGUGAUUUGUGUGUGAGGGUGCUGUGUAUGAGUGUGAUUUGUGAGGGUGCUGUGUGUGAGGGUGCUGUGUGUGAUGUGUGUGAGGGUGAUGUGUGUGAGGUGCUUGAGAGUGAUGUGUGGGAUAGUGCUGUGUGUGAUGGUGCUGUGUUUGAGGGUGCUGUGUGUGACGUGUGUGAGGGUGCUGUGUGUGAGGGUGCUGUGUGUGAGGUGUGUGUGAGUGCUGUGUGUGAUGUGUGUGAGAGUGCUGUGUGUGAGAGUGCUGUGUGUGAUAGUGCUGUGUGUGAGAGUGCUGAGUGUGAUGUGUGUGAGAGUGCUGUGUGUGAGGGUGCUGUGUGUAAUGUGUGUGAGAGUGCUGUGUGUGAUGUGUGUGAGAGUGCUGUGUGUGAAGGUGCUGCGUGAGAUGUGUGUGAGAGUGCUGUGUGUGAAGGUGCGUCUAUAUACAAAUUCAGAAUUACAUAAAAGAGAGAUACAUGUGUCACAUGGGUUUCUUUAGCCUAGUGAUUAGUAGUCCGUGGUAGGAGCAAUACCUACUAUCAUCCUCCAUAACUGUCAAGCUUCAAAUUAGAUUUUACUUUUGGCCUUACAACAAAAAGUAAUUACAUCUGAUGAAUACAAAUUCCUACAAAAACCUCAUAACAAUAUUACCUUAGCAAACUUUUUACUGCUUACCCAAAAUGCAUAAUUCAUAAUUCAUAUUCCACAUGGCAGACCAAUAGUGUCUGGAAACAAUUGUUUAACCAAAAGAGCAAAUACUACAUUUUGUAACUGAAUGUAAAAUAUGGAAGUUCCUCCAUACACUAUGCCAAUCAGCUUAGAUGUACUUUCAUUUUCAGCAAUAUUCCCCAAGCAUCUUUCUCAUUCUCAGACCAAACAUCAACUUACAACUAUUUGCAAAAAGACUUUACAUUGGCUCUUUAAAAAUAUGUCUUAACGUACAACUACUUUAUUUUAAUGGUAAGCACUACUUAUAGUCAAAGGGCACAGCUAUGGGAAAAUAAUGUGUUCCCAGCUAUGCCAAUAUCCUUUUGGGGUGGUAGGGACAUGAUAUUGUCAAUUCCUCACAUUAUAGGAAAUACUAGAAUCAUUUUUGAAAAUGGCGCAGAUGUAUUGAUGACAUUCUGCUCCUCUGAUCUGGCCCAGAGUCUCUGAUUGAAGAAUUUGUCAGGGCUUUAUAUUUCAAUGACCUACAACUUACUCAUGUCAUUGAUAAAAAUUAGUUGGUUCUUUUUUGGACCGGAAAAUUGGACUUGGAAAUUAUAAUUACAGAAGAGGGCAGAAUCUUAAUAGAACUCCUCAGAAAGUCUUCCACAGUGGUGGAGUUAAUAUAGAGAGGACCCUGGUCCAAGAAUUAUUAUCGCAAGGAUGGCCCAAAGGUAGAUCCCUAUUUGUCAUACAACUGCAACAAAACUUUGCAACUGGGGUUCUACUAUUUUCACUGAGCAGUGUUUGCAUGUUUAAAUGUAAGCAUGUUUUUGUAUGGACUAUGUUUGUAUGAAUGUAGUGUUUGCAUGCAAGCGUGUAUUUGUGUGUAGUGUGUUUUUUUAAUAAUCACAUCACUAGAUGAUUCUUGAGCAACUAUUCAACAUGGUUUCCAACUGUCACACAGAGAUCUAGAUUUUCCAGGGGAAGUGUUCUACUAAUCUUAAAGCUGCAGUCUUCUCUCCUUAGUGGGGCUGCUUUUAUAGGUAUGCGUGGUAUUAAGAGGAAUCAUUGUUUUUUUAAUUAAUAUUUCAGUCCAGUGCAAACAAAUUGUGAUUUUGAACCCCUCAGACCCAAGUUGUGGGCAUACUUGGAGUAGUGUUGUCUGUGACAAACUUUACUAGGGCAAGCAACAGAGAACAGUGAGUCAGUCUAAAUUAAACAGUGAAGCAAAAAAAAAAACUGACUGUUUGAAUAUAUUUAUUUACAUGAGUAUGAACACCUAAUUUGUCACUAUAAACAAGUCAAUGUAAAGUCUGCUUUCUAAGGCUCAAGUUGUAUACCUUAGUCUCAAUGGGUGUAAAAAACUACAGCAGAACUCCUAAAUGUUAUUUUGUGAAAAAGUAAACAAUGUUUAAAGGUGCUGUAUAAAUUUGUCAGUCGGGUUCACAUUCCUUUCAUGAUUUUUUCCAGGACAGUACCAGCUUCAUGCAUUUAUUUUAAACCUCACCAGUUGCAUCUAUUUCCACACCUCUUCCCCCAGAAUGCCUGUCAACCUACACCUCAUUAAUUUUAUGUGUUAUAAUUCAAUGCGUCUUGAAAAAUGUACAUAUUAUCAAAGAAUGAUUUUUGAUUACCGUAUAUACUUGAGUACAAGACGAGUUUUUCAGCACAUUUUUUGUGCUGAAAACCCCCCACUCGUCUUAUACUCGAGUCGAUGUCUGUAUUAUGGCAAUUUACAUUGCCAUAAUACAGACCAGGACCGCCGUAUUCAUUACAUGCCUGGUGGUCCUGUUGGGGCCUGGCAGCGAGCUGUAACUUACCUUUCCUGCUGCUCCUGUCAGCUCCCUUCUCCUCCGGUCCUACCAGCUCCCCUGUCAGCUCCACUGCAAGUCUCGCGAGAGCCGCAGGGUCAGAGCGUUGCCACGGAUUACUGUGGCAACGCUCCGCGCUGAACUCACACCGCAAGACUUGCAGUGGAGCUGACAGGGGAGCUGACCGGACCGGAGGAGAAGGGAGCUGCAGGAAAGAUAAGUUACAGCACGCUGCCUGCCCCACUCCUACACAGCCCAUCCACUGGACCACCAGGUAAUGAGAGCCCCCCUCCCUGGCCAUGUAUCCCUGGAUGUGUAAAAAUAAAUACAAAUUUAAUUAAUAAUAAAAUUAAAAUAAAAUAUUAAUAUUUAAAAAAUAUUAAUAAUAAAAUUAAAAUUAAAUAUUAAUAACAUAACAAAACAAAUUAAUAUUAAAAUAAUUUUUUUUUAAAAUAAUAAAAAUGCCCACCCCCCACCAAGGCUCUGCAUCACAUAUACAAACACACUCUGCUUCACACACACACACUGCAUUCAUACACACACUGCAUUCAUACACACACUGCAUUCAUACACACACACUGAAUUCAUACACACACUGCAUUCAUACACACACACACAAUGCAUUCAUACACACACUGCAUAAUGGUAUAAAAAACAGAGGGUUGUUAGCCCCUUACUGGAUAUGAAGGUGAGUUAAACUGGCUUCCGCAGUUACUCACUAAAACAGCUUCUAAGGAUUCAAAGUAGCGGGUGGGCUGCUAUCACUCCUCCAGCUUGGCUGAACUGAAGAUGAAUCACUGUAAUGAAAGCCGCUGGAACUUCAGUUUAAAAAAAAAAACACUCCGGACUCUGUGUGAUGCAAGCUCCUCCCCCUUGUAUGGCAUUGACGCGUUUCGCCAUAUGACGGCUUCUUCAGGACGUGCUCAUAACUGCCAUGUUUGUUAUGGGCCUUUUAAAGGCUGAAGUCUUAGUUGUCUCAAAAUACCUCCAUUGAUGUGCAGUCCGUUUCAAAUGCUGCCUUGUAAUUUACAUAAAAUAGCCAGCUGUAUAUUAAUUUACAAAUUUACUGACAACAUCAAAGUUAAAACAAAAUUAAAUACCAAAUACAAUAAAGUAUAUUAACACAAAUCAAAUGCAUAAUAUGCUCAUUCAAAAUUAAAUAUAAGAAAAUACAAAGGAUUCCUUUUUGUUGACCACUUUUAAAGGGACAAUACCAUUUGUAUAUUAUUAUACGUAAAUCAUCAUUUAUGGUCAAAGAAUAGAUAGAAAAAAUGCAUAAAAAUAAACUUACACCAAUCCAAAAAAAUAUGUCCAAAAAAUAUGUUACUCUAACCAGCAACAUAAUGUCCUAAAAUACAUCUGUACUUAAGUACAAUAAUUCGGACAAUUUUAUUAUAUAAAUUUGAGGUAAGAAAGUGCAUAAACAUAUAUAAUUAUAUACAACUGAUUUUGAUAGGAUGUAUGGAGGAUCACAGAACCUGCUUAAAAAUAUAUACAAAGGAAGAGAAUAAAUAGUAAAUAUACAAAUAAAUACAGACAAUAAAAAAAUAUAAAAAUUGAAAAAUAUUAAAAUUGUAAAAUAUUAAAAUUGAUGUCCUAAAUAAGGGGAUAUACAGUACACACAAUGCAAUAUGAAAAGGAAAAUAUGAAGAAUUAAAUAUAUAGAGAGAAGGAAAACAUGCAAAAAGUAUGCAAAAAAUAUGCAGGAAUAUGCAGAGAGGUGGAGUUAAAAAUCAAUAAAAAAAUCAAUCUUAAAAAUUAUAAAAAAUCAUUAUAUAAUAGAAGUAAUAAUUUAAUAGUGUUAAAUUCUGGAAAUAUUAAAAUAUACAAUUCAAAUUAUUUUAUAGAGUUGAUUUCUUAGAAAUAUAUAUAAAAUUUAAAAUAUAAUUAAUAUUAAUUUUUUUUUAAAUGACAAACUUCAAAAUCAUUUUUGAGGCCAUGCAGGAUCAUAGUAUUCAAUUCAAAGAUCCAUUGCAUUUCGGCCCCCCCUAUCUUUACAUUAAAAUCUCCACCUCUCCAUGCUUUUUGAACUUGUUGGAUCCCUAUAAAACUUGUGUGGGAUCUGCUCCAUUUAAUAAUCUGCUUAUUAAAUAAUGAGUUCUAAAGGAAAUAUAUAUAUGUUAGUUUACUUUAGUUAGUUGAACUAUAAAAUCAAUAUAAAUUACUAAAGUAUGAUAUCACAUAUAGCUCAAUUGCUAGCAAUCAAAAAAUAAUCAAAACACAAUAACUCAUUAUGUUACUUGUAAGUGUUGUGGCUCAAGAAGGUUCCCUGUCUCCUUGAGCACAGUGUCUUAUAACUGCAGAGAUUUGCACAAAAAAAAAAACAGAAGUCCAUCCACUCAAUACAAUAGGUCACAUUGGUCUGCCCAUACAAGAACUUGUACUAUCCUGAGUAGCACCACUGCAGGUGUUUCUAGGAGCUGUAAUUCAUCUGUCUACAAUAAAAAGUUGACAACUGAAAUUCAGUGCUCCCUGAUAAGCCUGCUGUGCUCAUAAAGUUCUGUUAUGCACUAAUUUACGGUAUAAGCUUAUGUCAGAAUAUUAGUAUUCACAUUAAUAUGGCGCCAACAUAUUCUGUAGCCAGGGCAAGACUGGGAAAACAGUUUGGGCCAGGUGUUUUUUGUUCACAAUGACCCAUGGGCAAGGGGGAGGGACCAGAGAGGGUGGUUUGUGUAAUCACCAGUGACAAGCACGCCCCCCGAGCAUGAACAUGUUGGCUCAAUGCUCUCCCAGGCCAGACCAUGCGCAGAGCCCUGUUGAAAUGCUCUCUCAUGAGAAAAAGAUCCUGCAUUAGUUUUGCGCAGAGCAAGCGAAUUUAAUGACACUCUUGCGCUGCAUUUGCGUGUGACUUGUCUCUGGUGUCGCCAUAAGGGGGAUUCCAGAGGACAAAAGAGCCAGGAAAGAAUCUGGUAUGGUGUGUUUUUUUUAAUUUAUUUUUUUGUUUCCGUUGUGUUUAUUGUGUGGCUAGGGGCUGUAGAGAGUGUGUGUAUUCGUGAUAUGUAUAUAGGGGAUGCAGCGUGUGUUGUGCAUAGGUGCUGUAUUGUAUAUGUGUAUAGGUGAAGGGGGUGUAGAGAGUGUGUGUUUAAGGAAUGUAGUUUGUGUUUUUGUGUACAGUGGAUUAACUGUUGGUAGGGGAUACAAAGUGUAUAAUAGGUGAAGGGGAUGCAGUGUGUGUGUGGAAGGGUGCAGUGUGUGUGUAAGGGAUGCAGUGUGUGUGUGGAAGGGUGCAGUGUGUGUGUGUGGAAGGGUGCAGUGUGUGUGUGGAAGGGAUGCAGUGUGUGAUGACGAUGACAAUGCUGUCUGUUGUGGCAGCAGUAGUAGACUAUGAUUUAAAUUUGAUAUUCUAUGUCCAUAUUCCAUAUUGGAGAACUUUCCGCAAGUGGAUUUAAGAUGAAAAGGAAGAUUACUCCAAAUCAUUUUAGCUCUUUGAACAAUAGAUUACAGUUUUGUAUUCACAUUUUAUUUGAUUACAUUCUGUAGAUGCAUGACAUUUGCACAGUCGUUAUUCGGCAUGUGCUACCCUUUACACUUAAAUAAAACACUGACACCAAUAAUUCUGUUGGAGUAUAAAGUCCACAGCUUUAUUAAUUAAUUAUAAUAAAUUAACAUAAUCUAGGGUCAUUGUCCUACUAGACAUUAUGUUACUAUACCCCCACACAGUACCCCUGACAAUGACCCUAGCAAUUAAACAAUAAAUAACAACAAAUAACAUAUAACUUGAAACACACGGCCUACAAAAGAGACACCAUAUCGUCCAGUUAACUGUAGGGGUAUACCUCGGACACCCCUACACCCCCAGGUUCGUAGCCACCAAAGAGCUAGAACCAACCAAUCCUUAACUCCAUCCGGCCUAAACCUCGGCCUGUCCAUUUCAAAUUCCACGCAAGUUCCAAUAUAUACACCGCCCUGUUCCGCCACAGCACAUGGCUUGACCCCCUUAAGCUAAUGUGCGACCCCCACCAUAUCUAACAGGGCCUGUGCUAUACCAUCCUGAAAACCUAGGUUCAGCAAAUCAUUCCCCACAUCCGAUAGGUGAAUACCAUCCCUCCUAAAAUAUCCCGGCAGCAUACCCUCUAAUUCCCCAUGCCUCACCACCACGCCCCCCGACCGUCUAAUAAAGACUGACAUAAUUUUGUUGACCUUACCCCUAGAUCGAGCUAUUGCAGCUGGAUCCCUGGCGUGUUUCCACGUAAAGCGAGGCACCAUCUCAGACCAAACUACGACCACGCCAGGAACCAGCUCCCUCAGCCGAUCCAUAUCCCUCUUCAUUUUCCGAACCAGUAACCUUUGAGGAAUCAAGCCCAGAUCGUUCCCACCUCCGUGGACCAGUACCACGUCUGGGACCGCCCCCCCGACAACUUUUUAAAUAACGCGCUGCAGAGAUCCUGCCAGCUAGCGCCCCUCAAACCAAGCCAUGAUAAUUCCACUCGUUCCAAAGGAAAGCCCAGCUGCGUUCCGCAUCUUCGAACUGCGGCUCUCUUCUGCGCCCAGUACACAUACGAGUGUCCCAUCAACCAAACUUUCAAACCUGAAAGGAAAUAAAAUUAGUUGCGAGGAGACAAAUGCCCCCCCCCCCUAUCCCAAUUUCCUAACCAACGCUUACUUACACCAGCCUGUCAGACCUCACAUACGUGCGGAACCGCAUGGAUUCCCACCUCCCGAUCCGCUUAAUCCGCUCUUCCCCCAAACCUAGGCGUGCUGCCUGCGUCGCUGCGCCUAUGCGGAACGAGUGCGUCCCAAAUUUCUUGGGCUCCAAGCCCAGCCUCUGUAAACCCGCUCGAAAAACCCGCAGAAAUUGGUAGCGGGACAGCGCCGUCCCAUCAGCAUGCAGGAAAAAACUACCAGCCAUCCCGGGACGGACCUCCAAGUACCGCGCCCCGCAAGCCACCGGGCACGCCCUUGAACCCGGUAACUCGUACAACACCACAGAGCACCCUUUACCAAACACGUCUGUUUUAGAGCGGCGCAACCUGAUCCGCACCCUGUCGUUGCAUAAGUCCACGUCGUCGAGCAGCAAUCCGCCGGCCCCUUUCCUGUUGGGGCUCACCAGCUCGCCAAUCCGGAAGGCUCCGAAGAACGCCCAUACAAACGCUCCCGAAAAUAGCGCCACCUCAAAAGGGGAAUGACACAACCCAGCCAACGCUCCUAACAACCCUUGCAACACCGAGAACGACACCGGUCUUCUCGUGUCCCCAAACUUCUUACCCUUCCGAAAACCUCGUAUCGCCUGACGUAUCAUGAAAUUCUUAGUAAUGUCCUCCCAACCAUUGAACUUAAAUAAAAAGGCCAGGGCAGACAUAUACCUGUCCACCAUGGCCGGCGAAGCCUGUCUUGAGAACAGGCGACACAGCAACCAUAGCAGCACGUCCCCCCGCUGCCCCUCCGAAAAAACACCUCCUACCUGUUGAACAGUCUCCUCCCAUUCCUUCCAAACCUUAACAUAAGACGACCACGUGCUUGGCGCCAAUGAGUUCCUUAUGUACUCCCCAAGCAUGACGUCCCGAGCCGCCACAUCUCGUCCGGGCAUGCUUGCCCCAUCUCCUGGGCGUCCGGCGCCGCUUCCCGGAAUCGUUCCCACUGAAAACGAGAAAGCGCAUCAGCCACCACAUUCAACAUACCAGGGAUGUGCUUAGCCCUAAACACCACAUUGAAGGACAUGCAAAGAAGUACAAACCGCCGCAACAAACACAAGACCGGGGGGGAAGACGCAGACAAACUGUUUAUCGCCUGCACCACAGCCAUGUUAUCCGAGUGGAACACGAUGUGCCUGUUUGCCAACGCCGGCCCCCAUAAACCCAUCGCAACCACGACCGGAAAUAAUUCCAAAAACGCCAAAUUCCUUAUUAGCGGGCUUUCUUUCCACGCUGCAGGCCACUCCUCAGCGCACCAAUUACCCGCAAGAUAAGCCCCAAAACCGACACUGCCUGAAGCGUCAGUGUACAGCCCCACCUCUGCUGCCGCCGCCGGUUCCCUAAAGAACACCUUGCCAUUAAAAUCCUGUAGGAACCGGACCCACACCCUUAAGUCCGCCUUCAUAUCCGCUGAGACCCUAACGUAGUGCGAUGGCCAGCGCACCCCACUUGUCGCACGUGCCAGUCGCCUACAGAAAACCCUCCCCAUUGGUAUCACCCGGCACGCGAAGUUCAGGCUCCCCACCAAUGAUUGAAGCCCCCGCAGCGUCACCUUCUUAGCCCUCCCUACCGUGGCCACCCGCUCCCUCAGAUCCACUAGUUUGUCUGAAGGUAACCGACAUUCGCCACUCACGGAAUCGAUUUCCAAACCCAAAAAACUAAGGCACGUUGUGGGCCCAACCGUCUUGUCUCCCGCCAAGGGAACCCCGAAAGAGUGCGCAAUCCAGUGAAACACUUCCAACACCUGUCUACACCGGCCCGUUCCCUGCGGGCCGACACAGAGGAAGUCGUCAAGAUAGUGCACCACCGCACCCCCUGCCGAUUCCUUCCGCACCACCCAUUCCAAAAACGUGCUAAAUUUCUCAAAAUAAGCGCACGAUAUGGAACAGCCCAUUGGUAAACACAGAUCCACGAAAUAACCCCCAUCAAGAUAGCACCCAAGCAAAUGAUGGCAUUUGGGGUGUAUAGGGAGCAGCCGGAAGGCUGCCUCCACAUCCACUUUCGCCAUCAGCGCCCCUCGCCCCAUUCUCCGUACCAACUCGACAGCCUUGUCGAAUGACGUAUAAGAGACGGAGCUGAGGGCCGCGUCAAUGUCAUCAUUUACCGACGCCCCUUUUGGGUACGAUAAAUGAUGUAUCAACCUGAACUUACCCGCUUCCUUCUUGGGAACCACGCCGAGUGGGGAUAUCCGUAGGUCGACCAAUGGCGGCUCCAAGAAUGGGCCCGCCAUUCUCCCCAGCUGCACUUCCUUGCUCAACUUCUCCCGCGCUACCCCCGGGUGCUCCCGGACUGACUUGAGAUUACCACACAUCGUUCCCGGUCCCCUAACCACGAAGGGAAUAACAAACCCUUCUCGAAAUCCCUGCCACAAAAAGACCGCAUCCGCCCUAUUGGCGUACUGCCUUAGCCAAGGCAACAUCACGUCUACUUUCACUGGGGACGCCCCCAGCGGUAACAGCGGGGGGCGCUGCCCCUCCGGACCCCCCACCCCCUCCAAGCUUACCUUUCUUGAAGCACCGGCUGGAGCCAUGCGCCCCCCCGCAGCCGGAACAUUCGUGUCUGAACCUGCAGGAAUUCCCCCACUUGCAGUGUCCCUCGUUGUACAUCCAGCAGAAGCCUUUCUUUUGCCCAGCCGACACAGCACCCCCUGCGGCCGUGCCGGCUGUCCCAAGAAAGGGCGCAGCCUUUUGAGCCAUCAUAAGGCGCAUCCAUAACGGCAGAUCCAUUUGAUCCCACCGCAUGCUCGUGUUCACCGCUAGCCGUUGUCGAAAUUGCUCGUCAUACCUCCACCACGCCAAUCCCCCGUAUGUUCGAUAUGCAUCGCCUAUCCCAUCCAAGUAGCAAAAAUGUUCAGAGCAACGCCCCGGGUUCUUUUCCCCUAUCACGCUUGCCAGAAUCCAAAAAGCCCGUAGCCAAUUCCCAAAAGUUUUCGGUAUCUUGCGAUACCUCCGCCUUUUUUCCUCCUCCUCUUUCUUGGCGUCCUUUUUAUCCUCCUCUUUCAAGUCCAAGAAUUCCUCGAGGGGAAGAAGGGAAAAGAUCUCCACAAACUCACCUUUCCAAAUCUUAUCCUUGACCUCUGUUUUUAAGUGGCACCCCAGGGGGCCCGCAAAGGACACGUGCACGUUUUGCCGCGCCGCAUCCGGGACCUCGCUACCCCCUUCCGUGGAUUCUCCCCCACCAUCGGUCAACCCCGCUGACCCCGUCGCGUCGCCGGCCUCGCCUCCAUGUGUCCCCGCCGGUACUGCCCCCGCGUGCUCCACCGCCGCGUCCCGACUACCUUCCUGCGACCAUACCCGCCCGAAUUCCGAGGGGGACCCACCCUUGUCCGACCAAGCGUCUAAAAAUACUUUCAAAUCACUCAACAACUGUCCAGAGUGUCGUGCAUGUGUUGACUCACCGCUCAAGCCCCUGGCCGCAGCUGGCCGCAGGGGCGUCGUCCUUCCGCCCACCAUUCCGGGUGCCGGAGUGCCUUGUUGUCGCCGACUCCCAUCCGCCUGGUCCCGCCUCGAGACCGUAGGGGUAGUGCUCCGUGACCUGCAGGGAGAAGAAAACCUGGGUAGUCUGUUCAGCGUAGGGUCUACCCGCCCUUCCUCCCCACGUUCCAGCUGCCUCGCCGAACGACUCCCCCUGUAAUCCGCUCCCCUUGAUUGAACCUGUACUCUCCUGUCUGGCGAAUCAGACGUGCUACGUCGACUCCUCUGCCUUCUAUCCCUAGACGGGGACCUCCCGCAGCCUUCCCUGCAACAGGACCUAGUUGCGCUGCAUCUGCUCCGCACUGGUGACCUCUCCCCGCUUCCUCGACUCCCUGCUCUGCUCCUCGUGCUGCUGCGCCUGGCGCUCACGCUGCGCCGUUCCGUUCUCCUCUCACUCCUUGCGUCCUCUCCGUCCAUAUGCUGACCCUGGGAGCAGCCAGAAGGACCCUCCCGCCUGCCGCCACCACCCCUGUCACCUCCCUCCAGGGUGGGUCUACGUCUGUCUCCCGCUGCUGUUGCGCCUGGCUUCCCUCUAGCCGUCCUUCCCGUUAAUGACUCCUGUCCCUGGCUGAUCGCCGUGCGCCCUGAUCCAGCCGUCUCCUGCGCACUAAAGCCACCACCGACAUCCUCCCUCCUGACCCCUGCCUGGGCCGUCCCUGCGCUGACCUCGCCGCCCCAGCCUCCCCCAGACCCAUGGGGGGCUGCUCUUGUCUCCACACUCCCCAUAACCACAUUCUCCUGCCCCACAGCGGUGCCAAUGGUGGCUGACUCACCGGGACGUUCCAGCUCUGUAAUCCCGCCCACGUGACCGUCCUCCGUCCUGGCCGCCGACCCGGCCGCCGAAUUGGAAGCCACCGCUCCAUCUCCCCUGCCUGCCGCCGACCCGCGCGGCGUGCGUCGACCAGCCGCCGGGUGCUUUACGGCCGUCCGCGCCAGACCGCAGCCGCGCCUGCCAGCCCGAGCCGUGCUCCUUCCCGGCUCCACGACCGGGACCUCUCCUGCCUCUGCGGACGUUCCUCCUCCCUCUGAAGGGCUUCUACGGCGUCUCGCCGCGGGCCCAGCACCCGGGCUCAGCCGCUGCGGCGGCCUCGUCCUCCUGGCCGGUCGUCGUGCUGCCACCGUUGCGGAAGGCCCGUCGGCCCCCAGCUGCUGAUGUAGCCAUUCGAGGCCACGGUCCCUCACGGCCGCCCGCACUCCCUCCAGAAGCUCCUCCAGCGCUGCCAUCGACCUGCAGGGAAACAAAGAAAAAAGGGGGGGAACCUCUCUGGCCUGCAACAAUCUACAGGUAAGAGAGGCUCCAGUUAAAAUGGCCCCUAUUCUAAUAUGGCUGCUCUUUAUAUCCCUACUCUCCACCCCCCAAAACAUCACUCCCAAAACCCUUCCCACAAACUUAAGCCCAUGCCCACUCCCUGGCUCUGUCAAGGCCCACUCCCCACACUGCGUUGCUCCAUGGGCUACCAUAUAAUCUGUCUGCAUGUUCUCGAAUUUCACAUGUAACAAAAUACGCUGAUUUAUAUUACUAAUUUCUUAGAUUUCACUUACAAAAAAAAUAUAUAGUAAUGCAUCCUUUUCUAAGGCAAAUGUAGGAAUUAGUCUGACAAAAGAGAGAGAGAGAGAGAAAGAGUGAGUGAGUGAGUGUGUGUGUGUUAAGAAUUCAUCCGAAUUAUUGUUUGAUAUGGCCAUGUAUGAUGUAAAUAAUAAUGUUUAUUAGAAGUUAUUACCAGCUGUAUUAAAACUCCGUAUUGUGCGUUUCGAUGAACAUUUUCAUUGCUUUUAAAAACAAAACUGAUAUGGUGCCCCUGCCGCAGGAAGGUUAAAUAAGCAAACCAUUAAUUUUGCACUCAAUUCCAGGGCUGAACGGUUUGUCAAGCGAAGAGAAGAUAUUUUUCCAUAAAUAGAAUCUGACAGCAAAAAAAAAUUCCCCUUCAGCUGCAUGUUCUGACAGGCACUAAGCCUGGGGAGUUCAGGUAAGGAAGGGUUAGCAAAACUGUUGAGGUCAGUAAUAAAUUAGGUUAAAGGUUAUUGGAGCAUGGCAUUCCCUUCUAACAACACUAAUUUCACACAAAGAAUACAUCAAAAGGAGAUGAGUUCAUAACUACUACCUCAAUAUAAUGUUUCAAUGAUCCUUGCAGUUUAUUUAUUUCUACAACAUGUACAAUGUUUGAGUAGCUUUAAAUAUCCAGGUCUCACAAUGAUUCCCAUGAGUGUACCCCCAAAUUACAUAUUACUUCUACUUAUCAAGCCCAGCCCAAUAGGUUCCUUCUCUGUUAUCAACUAACUCAGAGUUUCUUUUUUCAGAGCUCCCCAUUCUUAAAGAAAGUAAUUUUUUACCCUAUAAGACUUUCUCCUAAUUUCAAAGACUUUAAUCUAGGUCCUGAAAAAUGCUGUUUGCAGCCACUGACAACACCAUUUAAAUCAAAUAAAACACAGUUGAGUUCUGUUCGUAUUAACCCUGAGAGAGGCAAGGGACUCUUUCGUCACUGGAAGGAAGACUAUAUAUAUUUUUAUAUAUUAUUAUAUAUUAUUGUAUUUUUUUUUUUUUUAUUUGUGGUGGAAACUGACUGAUUUUGUAUUAAGGGAGUUUUGCUUUUGCACACCCUAAAAGAUUGUGAUGUAGUUAAUCUAACACAAUUGCAUUAGGAAUACAAAUGUGUAUUUAUAACACUACAAUACCCUAGUCACCAUUUAGGGCCCACACUGACUGGGUCCCCACUGUCAGGGUAAGAAAGGUAGGUUUACUUGCCUUUUCUCCCUCACAGCGCAGAUCGAGAUAAUUGAUCUUAGUCAAUCUAAUUCGUCCUUUGGGAACUUUUGAGACCCUAGAGUGCAUGCGCAGAAUACACCAUGCUGCUUCAAUCAGAUGGUCACUUUGAGAUCAUCUGAUAUAAAUAGUGGAGUUUUCAGUUGCAGUUGGAAGGGGAAAUAGCAACUUCAUCUCAAGUGACCUGGGUGCCUUUAGUUUUACUUUACAUUACAUAUAUAACAUCUUAAAGGUCCAUGACUUAAAUUUUUGCAUGUUUGACCUUGGCAGUAGUUUGCAAAAUCAUGACCAAAGUAAGUGUAUGAUUUUAGAAAGUCUUAUAUAUAAUAAAGCAAAUAUCACAUACUUAAUUGAGAAAUUUUUUUUACUUUAAGCUAACAUACUGUACAUACAUUCUUUUUAAGACAGAAAACAGAAUUUUCCAUGUCCACCACUAGGGCAAUCAAGAAAAUGUAGAGAAAAUUAAUCAUUCUGAUAAGUAAUAGAUAGGCGGCGUUAUCAUGGUAUUUCUUGGUAAUGUUCUACAGAUGUGGAAACACUUAACUGUGAAUAGUACUUAGGGAGACAUUCAACCAAAAAAAAAAAAAAAGUAUGUGUGUGUGUGUGGAAGGAAAAAAAAACACAUCUGGUUUGUCCUACUCAAAACAGGGGUUAAUCACAUGUCAUCAACAAGCUACAGCAAUGAGUAGCCCAAGGAUAAACAGAAGGUCUUUACUUCAGGAAAGAGGCUGUUGUUGUAAUAUAAGCAUUUAUUUUGGCUACUAACUCACUGAAGCCUUAAAAAGAGACGUACAGUUUCUGAAGACUACUGGAAAUAAACACUGCUGUAUUUUAUUGACUUAAUGGGGAGAAAACAAAGAGUUGACCAUAGCUCUAAAAUAUUAUCAAAUCAGCCUGCAGUAAAAACAAAAAAAAAAGCCCAAUUUUAAAGUGAAAAAGAAUGACUGACUACAUCUCCACAAAGAAAAAAAUACCCUAGGAUGAAAACCACAAAAUGAUAGCAAUAUUAUGUUUGUGCUAUGAGUAGAGUUUAGAUUAGUGGAAGGCAACCAUCGGCACUUCAGAUGUUGUGGACUGUUAACCCCUUAAUGCUGCCAAACGUGUAUACACGAUUGCCAGAUUAUGCAGCUAUACCCACAAUUGUGUUUACACCAUUCUAACCAUGGCAAAGGAAAUUAUAUUUGCAGUGGUGGUCAGAACAGCAGAGCCGGUGCUUCUAUUAUAGCACCGGAUUUGCUGACCCCAUCCCUUUCCCCCAUCCCGCCGCAGCUGUAUGAUCCUGCUUUGCUCACAAUGCAGGUUGCACCUCCGUCUGAAAACAGCUCUCUACAGAUGAUCUGUCCCGGUCAGAGACUAUGAUGGUCAUUCAGAGGAGUCUGCACCCAACCAAAGGUGCAAAUCCCACUGGCAGCCCACCUGACCACCAGGGAAACCACUAGACCCUCACAGAAUAAAUAUUAGAGUUCCCCUCAUUGCAAAAAAAAGGUAAGCAUUAGGGGGACUAAGCAAGCAGUAUACAAAAUAAGCCUGUAUGGUGAGACUGAACAGAAAUAAAGCCUACCCACCACAAACUCAGGGCCGUCUUUAACAAGGGGCAAACAGGGCAGCUGCCCCGGGCCCAGUUGCUCCUGGGGGGCCCAAGGCAGCUGCCCUGUGGGCCCCCUGCCUGCAGCCAGGUCUGAACAGCCCACCGGGAUACUGAGAAAUAUCCCGGUGGGCUGCAGCAGGUGAGGUAAUCAGGGGCCCCCCGGCCCUUUAAGAGAGCUGCAGACCGGGCCUUGGUCUUCCUGCCUGCUGGGAGGAAGUGUUGUGAGGUCACUUCCUCCCAAUUAACAGAGUGCCGCUGGGGAGGAGGAGACAUACAUGGAGGAGGUACAGACCAAUAACAAGCAGACUCCCAUCAAUCUCAGCCAUCCAGCUCCCACUGGACCACAGGGAAGCCACACUUCUGUAGAGGUAAGGAGGGUGGCUAAACUAUGUGAAUUCAUAUGACUGUGUGUGUGUGUGUGUUUGUGUCAGUGUGUGUGUGUAUCUGGCUGUAUGUGUGUGUAUCUGGCUGUAUGUGUGUAUGUGUAUCUGGCUGUAUGUGUGUGUGUGUAUCUAUGUGUGUGUAUCUGGCUGUAUGUGUGUGUGUGUAUCUGGCUGUAUGUGUGUGUGUGUAUCUGACUGUGUGUGUAUCUGGCUGUAUGUGUGUGUGUGUAUCUGACCGUGUGUGUAUCUGGCUGUAUGUGUGUAUAUCUGACCGUGUGUGUGUAUCUGACCGUGUGUAUAUCUGACUGUGUGUGUGCGUAUCUGAUCGUGUGUGUGUAUCUGACUGUGUGUGUAUCUGGCUGUAUGUGUGUAAAUCUGGCUAAAAGCGUGUGUAAAAUCUGGCUGUAUGUGUGUAUCUGGACUGUGUGUGUGUAUCUGACUGUGUGUGUGUGUAUCUGACUGUGUGUGUGUAUCUGACUGUGUGUGUGUAUCUGGCUGUAUGUGUGUGUAUCUGGCUGUAUGUGUAUGUGUAUCUGGCUGUAUGUGUGUGUGUGUAUCUGUCUGUGUGUGUAUCUGGCUGUAUGUGUGUAUAUCUGGCUGUAUGUGUGUAUAUCUGACUGUGUGUGUGUACCUGACUGUGUGUGUGUAUCUGACUGUGUGUGUAUAUCUGACUGUGUGUGUGUGUGUGUAUCUGACUGUGUGUGUGUGUAUCUGACUGUGUGUGUAUCUGACUGUGUGUGUAUCUGGCUGUAUGUGUGUAAAUCUGGCUGUAUGUGUGUAUAUCUGACUGUGUGUGUGUGUAUCUGACUGUGUGUGUGUAUCUGACUGUUUGUGUAUCUGGCUGUAUGUGUGUGUAUCUGGCUGUAUGUGUGUGUAUCUGACUGUGUGUGUAUCUGACUGUGUGUGUGUGUAUCCGACUGUGUGUGUAUAUCUCACUGUGUGUGUGUAUCCGACUGUGUGUGUGUGUAUCUCACUGUGUGUGUGUGUAUAUCUCACUGUGUGUGUGUGUGUGUGUGUGUAUCUGGCUGGCUGUGAUUGUAUCUGGCUGUGUUUGUGUCUGACUGUGUGUGUGUGUGUGUGUGUCUGUAUCUGACUGUGUGUGUGUAAGUGUGUAUCUGGCUGUUUGUGUCAGUGUGUGUUUAUAUGGCUGUGUUUGUGUCAGUGUACAUGUACCUUUUGUGUCAGUGUUUAUGUGUAUCUGUGUGUAUGUAUACCUAUGUGUCAGUUUGUAUGUGUACCUGCUUGUCUGUUUAUAUGUACCUGUGUGUGUAUGAGUGUCAGUAUGUGUAAGUGUGUAUCUGUGCGUGGGGCAAUGCAUACAUCCCAGCUAACAUUGCACACAAAUGCAACCCUGCAUUCCAACAUUAACAAUGCACACAAAUACACCACUGCAUGUGUAUCUGUGUUCCUGUGUGUAUCACUGUUUGUGUGAGAGUGCAUCUGUGUGACAAUGCAUACAUCCCAGCAUUCCUACGCCAACACUGCACACAAAUACAUAUGUAUUUGUGUAUAUAUCUGUGUCAGUGUGUGUAAGUGUGUAUCUCUGUGUGUGGAUGUGCCAGUGUUUUUAUCUCUGUGUGUGCACGUGUAUUUAUGUAUGUGGCUGUGUGUGUAUACGCCAGUCUUUGUCAGUGUGUCCAGAUGUGUGCAUGUAUCAGUGUGCUAAUGUGUAUGUAUAUCUGUGAAUGUUGACAUUCAUACAUCACGGCAAUCAAACACAACAUGCAACCACACCCCUGCAAACAUUACAUACAAACACACCCCUGAAUUCAAACUCAAAAAGUAUAUGGAAACACAUCCCUACACUUAAACACCAAUACUACACCCUACAUGCACACACAUACUGUAUACAACAACAUGCUCACAUUCAAAUGCACAAACACUGCUCACAAAUACAGCCCUGCAAAAAUGGACAAAUGGUAGAUCCCCAGCUGGCAUAGCAUCGUUGGAAUUGUACAACAGAUGAGGAUCUAUCUUUUCUCUGCUCUUGCGCUAGAGGGAAGGCUCAAAACAAUGUCUUGCACCAGGGCCCUGUCUACAUUAGUUCUGCCACUGUGUUGGGGUGGAGGGCGUGAUUGCAUGCCAGAGAGUGAAAGUGUGGGGGGAGGGCGAGGGAUGGCAGGAUCCAGGGGGCCCAAACAAAUGCCUGCCCAGUGUCCAAUCAAUGUUAAAGACGGCCCUGAGUAGGCAUGGCUGUGAUGGCUUCUAAGGGCACACGAGUCAAACGCUUGUUGAUUGGAUGCCCUGCAGCCUUUCAAAACGCGCCAUUAAAUCGCCGAACACCGAACUCCAACCCGAACAUACAGUGAUAUGUCCGUGUUCGGGUCCGAGGGCCAAAAAACGUAAUGUUCGGUACGAACCCAAACUUUACAGUCUGGGUUCAACUCUAGUAAAAAUGCAACUUGGCCCAAAAGCUCAUGGAGAGUGCAUCUACCCAUUUCCACAGUUAAUCUCUGCCGCAGAUAUUUUUUUUUUUUGAAAAGACAGCGAUUCUUAAACUUAAAUUCAUUUUAUAAUAAAAGUUUUAAAAUAUGUGUACAUUUUUUUAAAAAUUGCCUAUAUUUUUUGUUUUUUUUGUUUCAGGAAGUCUACAUUUUACGUUUAUUUCUAAUGUAUUUUUUCAAUGUAUGCUGCCUGGUCGCUGACAUCGAACUGACUUAAAAAAACAAGGAACCCAUCAGAACACACUUUUUUUUCAACUAAAUAAGUAUUUUUUUCCCCCCAAUGUUUCUGUCUUCACCUUGAAUUACCUACUUUCUCUACCACUGAAAAAAAUGCAUAAAUGGCAAGUUCAAUGGCAGUAAAACUUUCUUUGAACUUCUUUCAUUAUGCUGUGUCUAAGAAUAUGAAUUUAUAUUAAAGUAUUACUGAUGCUAAACGAUUUCUGUAUUUAAAAGAAAGCCAAGCCAGCCUCUAGCAACAUCUGAACUUUUGUUAAAACACUGCCUAAACAUUAUUUCCAUAAAUAUAGACUUUCCCUAGUAACAUGUGCGCAGUGGCAUAUUGCACCUGGAAUAUUGGGAUCUGGGCUCUUUUGCUCCAGUUGAAAGAAUAGAGACUUAAUUGUUUAAAUAAAUGUAAGUACGCAGUACAAUGAACAUCAGGAGGAUUUGUUUGAAGCAGUAAAGCUCUGCACAAUUGGUCUUAUUAUAAUUUAGAAUGAAAAAUGAAAAAGAAAAGGCAUUUGCAUUAACAAAAUGGUGUAAUUAAAUUGAGUGUAUUGUUUACUUUUUCCAAGAACCCCUCCCCAUUUGUUCUCCUUAAAGGAACACUCUAGCGUUAGGAAUACAAAUAUGUAUUCCUAACACUAUAGAGCCCUAGUCACCAUUUAGGUGACUAGGGCCCUGUUCCGUGGCAAAUAAAUGGUUAAAUUACCUUUUAUUUGAUUACCUUAAUCCAGCGCCAGGCUCCCGCGAUGCUGGUGACAUCUCCUCCUCCAUCAACGUCAGCUCCCGAGUGGAGCUGAAUGCGCAUGCGUGGCCAGAGGCACGCGCACAUUCAAACCCGUGAUGACAUCCAGCGUCAAAUAAGUGCGAUUUACUCCAUGUAAAUCGCGGAUGUGGCCUCUAGUGGCUCUCAGGGUGACAGCCACUAGAGGCUGGAUUACCCUGCAGUGUAAACAUAGCAGUUUCUCUGAAACUGGUAUGUUUUCAGCUGCAGGGUUAAAACUAGGGGGACCUGGCACCCAGACCACUUCAUUGAGCUGAAGUGGUCUGGGUGCCUAUGGUGGUCCUUUAAACAUUUAACAUAUUCCCUUUCAACAUUGCGUAUAUACUAUUUGACUUUCAAAAUGAAAUACAUUUAGCUUAUAUACUCCAACUCACUUAGCCUUUUACGUGAAGUACUGUCUUUCAUUCAGAACAGAAACACGUCUCUGCAGAGAGAUUAUAAAUGGAAUCUUAUUCUCUUAUCCCUCAUGAUACAACCAUGUCAAAGGAAGAGCGAUCAGGUGCCAAUUUUCAAAAUUUGGAGUUAAACCUUUCUUUAACGGUAUAACCCUUUAAGGUAACAGGGAGGCUGUGACCUCCUCAUACAAUAACAACUUCAUUGCAAUGAAGUUUCUGUGGUGCCGGGAGUGUCCCUUUCAAUUUUAUUUUUAUGGCAAUAUAUUAUAACUAUGCUUCUCUUUAAUGCAUCUUACCCAAAAAUUAUCAUAUGUCCAUUAAGACGCAAAAUAAGCAAAUAUCUUUGUAAAUAAGCUUAGAAAUGCUCUCUGGAGUUAUAUCUUCCCCAAAAAAUGUUUCUGUAUACAAACUGUCACUGCCAUUUAGAAUGUCCCUUACACCCCUUAAGGACCAAACUUCUGGAAUAAAAGGGAAUCGUGACAUGUCACACAUGUCAUGUGUCCUUAAGGGGUUAAAACUUUUCCCUUGAUACCUCCUUGUAAACAGGUUUAAAGCAGCUAAAAAUUUAUAUCCUCUGCAAUGAAAAUACAUCAUGUUCAGUUAUAUCGGUAUCUUUUCAGCUUCUUGUGAAUAAUUCUUGGCUUAAAAUCUUCACAGACCUAACUAGCAACAUUUCUUUCCAAAUAUGUCACUUAUACCCGGCGGCGAUUGGCCUGACUGAGGGUUUAAGCAGAACUGGCAUUAAUGAGUACUCUGACUACUAAUCAUUUUCAUAUGAUUUAUAAUUAUUUCUAAUAUUUAUAAAUAUUGUUUUGUCUAAUAUUUAUAAAAUUCAUUUGGAUAGAGAUAUAUAUAUAUAUAUAUAUAUAUAUAUAUAUAUAGAUAUAGAGAGAGAGGGAGAGAGUUGUUUUCCAUUUCGCUGUCAAAUUGGCACCCCACCUUGCACCAGUAAUUUCCUUCUACCUACAGGAUAGCUGAAAUGCAUUAUUCCACUUGGAAGCACAAGCAUACCCUUGUUAUGUAGUAUUCUGCACAUUUUCACAUCUCUUAGUAUGUUCUACCUUAUCCUUAUACUGUGCUGCAGUAUAGGAUGUUCCUAUAAAUAAUGAUUAUGUCAUUUAAUACAAAGUACAAGUGACAGGGCAGGGGUGGGCAACUUUUUAGUAGCACUGUGCCAAAACAAGACUUUGAAGCCCACGGCAUGCCUAUUUUAUAAAUUAGUAUGAAUUUUCUGCAUUUUGCUUGCGUCAUGUAUGAGUGCCUUGGUUGAUUUGCAUGUAUAUGGGCUGUGACACAUAUGUAUGUGGGCUGUGCAUCAUGUUAUGUUUGUGAAAGUGGGCUGUGUAUUUCUGGGGCUGUGAGUGCUGGUGAUAUAUAGUAUUGUGUGUGGUGUUAUGUGUAUGCAUGGGGGCUGUUUGGAAUUCUGUGUGUGUUGUCAGCGGUGUGUGUGUAUUACUGUGUGGGUGGCCUCCCUAGAGUCCAUGCGGACCCCACUAACCGGGUAAAAGUGAAGAGGCCUAGAGGCUGCAUUGGCUGCUUAUGUCCAUUUCAGAUUCUCUUUCACAAGCUGGGAGGAAGUGAUCAGAGUGUGAUCNNNNNNNNNNNNNNNNNNNNNNNNNNNNNNNNNNNNNNNNNNNNNNNNNNNNNNNNNNNNNNNNNNNNNNNNNNNNNNNNNNNNNNNNNNNNNNNNNNNNUACACAGAGAAGUUUCAGACACCAACUGAGUAAGCCCAGGGCCGUCUUUAACAAGGGGCAAACAGGGCAGCUGCCCCGGGCCCAGUUGCUCCUGGGGGGCCCAAGGCAGCUGCCCUGUGGGCCCCCUGCCUGCAGCCAGGUCUGAACAGCCCACCGGGAUACUGAGAAAUAUCCCGGUGGGCUGCAGCAGGUGAGGUAAUCAGGGGCCCCCGGCCCUUUAAGAGAGCUGCAGACCGGGCCUUGGUCUUCCUGCCUGCUGGGAGGAAGUGUUGUGAGGUCACUUCCUCCCAAUUAACAGAGUGCCGCUGGGGAGGAGGAGGCAUACAUGGAGGAGGUACAGACCAAUAACAAGCAGACUCCCAUCAAUCUCAGCCAUCCAGCUCCCACUGGACCACAGGGAAGCCACACUUCUGUAGAGGUAAGGAGGGUGGCUAAACUAUGUGAAUUCAUAUGACUGUGUGUGUGUGUUUGUGUCAGUGUGUGUGUGUAUCUGGCUGUAUGUGUGUAUGUGUAUCUGGCUGUAUGUGUGUGUAUCUGACUGUGUGUGUAUCUGGCUGUAUGUGUGUGUAUCUGACUGUGUGUGUAUCUGGCUGUAUGUGUGUGUAUCUGACUGUAUGUGUGUGUAUCUGGCUGUAUGUGUGUAUGUGUAUCUGGCUGUAUGUGUGUGUAUCUGACUGUAUGUGUGUGUAUCUGGCUGUAUGUGUGUAUGUGUAUCUGGCUGUAUGUGUGUGUAUCUGGCUGUAUGUGUGUAUGUGUAUCUGGCUGUAUGUGUGUGUAUCUGGCUGUAUGUGUAUCUGGCUGUAUUUGUGUAUGUGUAUCUGGCUGUAUGUGUGUGUAUCUGGCUGUAUGUGUGUAUGUGUAUCUGGCUGUAUGUGUGUGUGUGUAUCUGGCUGUAUGUGUGUGUGUGUAACUGACUGUGUGUGUAUCUGGCUGUAUGUGUGUAUAUCUGGCUGUAUGUGUGUAUAUCUGACUGUGUGUGUGUGUAUCUGACUGUGUGUGUGUGUAUCUGACUGUGUGUGUGUAUCUGACUGUGUGUGUGUGUGUGUAUCUGGCUGUGUGUGUGUGUAUCUGACUGUGUGUGUGUAUCUGACUGUGUGUGUAUCUGGCUGUGUGUGUGUGUGUGUGUAUCUGACUGUGUGUGUGUAUCUGACUGUGUGUGUGUGUAUCCGACUGUAUGUGUGUAUAUCUCACUGUGUGUGUGUAUCCGACUGUGUGUGUGUGUAUAUCUCACUGUGUGUGUGUGUAUAUCUCACUGUGUGUGUGUGUGUGUAUCUGGCUGGCUGUGAUUGUAUCUGGCUGUGUUUGUGUCUGACUGUGUGUGUGUGUGUGUGUCUGUAUCUGACUGUGUGUGUGUAAGUGUGUAUCUGGCUGUUUGUGUCAGUGUGUGUUUAUAUGGCUGUGUUUGUGUCAGUGUACAUGUACCUUUUGUGUCAGUGUUUAUGUGUAUCUGUGUGUAUGUAUACCUAUGUGUCAGUUUGUAUGUGUACCUGCUUGUCUGUUUAUAUGUACCUGUGUGUGUAUGAGUGUCAGUAUGUGUAAGUGUGUAUCUGUGCGUGGGGCAAUUCAUACAUCCCAGCUAACAUUGCACACAAAUGCAACCCUGCAUUCCAACAUUAACAAUGCACACAAAUACACCACUGCAUGUGUAUCUGUGUUCCUGUGUGUAUCACUGUUUGUGUGAGAGUGCAUCUGUGUGACAAUGCAUACAUCCCAGCAUUCCUACGCCAACACUGCACACAAAUACAUAUGUAUUUGUGUAUAUAUCUGUGUCAGUGUGUGUAAGUGUGUAUCUCUGUGUGUGGAUGUGCCAGUGUUUUUAUCUCUGUGUGUGCACGUGUAUUUAUGUAUGUGGCUGUGUGUGUAUACGCCAGUCUUUGUCAGUGUGUCCAGAUGUGUGCAUGUAUCAGUGUGCUAAUGUGUAUGUAUAUCUGUGAAUGUUGACAUUCAUACAUCACGGCAAUCAAACACAACAUGCAACCACACCCCUGCAAACAUUACAUACAAACACACCCCUGAAUUCAAACUCAAAAAGUAUAUGGAAACACAUCCCUACACUUAAACACCAAUACUACACCCUACAUGCACACACAUACUGUAUACAACAACAUGCUCACAUUCAAAUGCACAAACACUGCUCACAAAUACAGCCCUGCAAAAAUGGACAAAUGGUAGAUCCCCAGCUGGCAUAGCAUCGUUGGAAUUGUACAACAGAUGAGGAUCUAUCUUUUCUCUGCUCUUGCGCUAGAGGGAAGGCUCAAAACAAUGUCUUGCACCAGGGCCCUGUCUACAUUAGUUCUGCCACUGUGUUGGGGUGGAGGGCGUGAUUGCAUGCCAGAGAGUGAAAGUGUGGGGGGAGGGCGAGGGAUGGCAGGAUCCAGGGGGCCCAAACAAAUGCCUGCCCAGUGUCCAAUCAAUGUUAAAGACGGCCCUGCACAAACUAUUCCCCCAUUUACCCUGUCACCUCACACCCCACACACAUACAGUCACAUUGUCACACUCAACCACCCCCUAUACUCUCUCCUUACACUCAGUCACUCUGUUACAGUCCCCACCCCACAUUCAGAUACACAUACACAAAUAUAUACACUCACAAACACAUAAAGAUACUCACUGCCAGACAAUACACUCUCAGGCACAUAUAUGCUACUCAAUGCUAGACAUUGAGUAGCAUAUACUCCGGGGUUAAAUAGGAGCAUCCACCCUAUUUAACCCCGGAUGCCGCUAAGGUGCUGGUCCAUGCUCUUGUUCUCUCUUGCCUGGACUAUUGCAAUACUCUUCUCAAUGGUCUUACGUGUUCACAGAUUGCACCGUUGCAAUCUAUAAUGAGUGUAGCAGCAAGGCUCAUUUUCCUUUCCGCUCGCACCUCCCAUGCCUCCCCGCUCUGUCAGUCCCUGCAUUGGCUUCCAGUUAGAUAUAGGGCAUAAUUUAAAAUUCUGGUGCUUGCUUUCAAGUCCCUACAUAAUGCUGCUCCAACCUACCUAUCUUCCCUAAUACACAAGUAUGUCCCGUCAAGGCCCCUACGCCUUGCCAAAGACUUACGUUUAUCUUCUGUCCGUACUCCCACCUCUAAUGCUCGCCUCCAAGACUUUUCCAGGGCUGCACCUCUUCUGUGGUUUUUAUUCCCCACCACCCAUGAUUCCUCUCCUGCAACUGUCAAAAAUUACCUACUAAGCCCUCAGUGAAUACUUUUCUAAUAACCUACUUCGUACCCCUACUUUUACCCUUUGUGUCACUAUACCCCAUUCCCUCUAGAAUGUAAGCUCAUUGAGCAGGGUCCUCCACCUCUCUGUUCCUGUACGUCCAGCUGUCUGGCUACAAUUACAUGACUGUUAGUCCACCCAUUGUACAGCACUACGGAAUCUGAUGGGGCUAUAUAAAUAAUAAAAUAACAAUAAUAAUAAUGUACACACAGGUACCAGUACAAACUGCCAGACACACAUUGUAUUUUCCAUGUAAAUUCAAAGUGAAUUUCAAAUUUCAGGUAAAGUAGCCAAAGUGGAAGCAUGAAUGACUUUAAAAAUGUUUACGGUUUGGCAAUUUUGGCCUUAAAUUUUAAAUUCACUUUAAUCUCCUGGAAUUUCUCACUUUAGUGAAUAACCCUGAUCUGAUAGUUUUGUUUUUUGGCAAGUUCAACUCAACAACCUCUUGUCCCCAUGAGGGUACUUAUAACACCUUGACUCAGGAAGUACUUAGAAACUAGGUAAAGCUGAAUGCAAAUUCCCUGGUCAUAUACCUUAAAAGGACAUUACACUGCUCAAAUAAAAAUGUAAAAAAAUAACAACUGUUUACUAGAUAUAUUCCCAAUGAAAUCAUACAUGCACUUUAUUAUGCAUUUCUUUUUAAUUGCGGGUAUGUCUAAAAACAGCUUGCAAAAGCUUUAGAUCUAUUUUAUUGUCAUGGUCAAAUAUAAAAUGUUUAUAUGCUGUCUACCUUGGAGAAACAUAUAGGGUUUUUUUCACUAAAGUAUACAAUGUCGUGCAUUAAAAGUACAUUUCUGGUUUUAGGUCAAUUUAGUCAAAUUUUAAAAAAAAACUGCUGUGUUUUCAGUGUGUAAAUGUUGGCUUAAAAUUUGAAAUUCACUUUGAAAUUCAAUAAUCCUUAUAUUGCAGUAUUGGAUUAUGUUUAAAGCAAAACUUUACAACUACGCAUGUUUUAGUACUUGCUAUGUCUACUAUAGAAUAUUUAUCCAAUUCAUAUUGUAGGGAAGAACACGCUACCCAGACACAACUAAAAUAAAAUAUUUAUAUAUAAAAUUGAACAGUGCAUGAAGAAAUUGUCAAAAUUAAUGCUCCCCCUCCCUUUAACUCCUUAAGGACUGGCCUGUUUUUGCGAUGUUGUACGUUAAGGACCAGAGCGGUUUUAACACUUUUGUGGUGUUUGUGUUUAGCUGUAAUUUUCCGCUCUCUCAUUUACUGUUCCCAUACAAGUUAUAUAUUGUUUUUUUUCAGGACAAGAAGGGCUUACUUUACAUACCAUUUUUUGUAUCAUGUCAUAUAUUUUACUUUAAAAAAAUAAAAUAAAAUAAAAUAUGGUGAAAAAAUGAAAAAAAAGUUUUUGAACUUUUAAUUGAAAAAUCUUUUGCUUAUCUACAAGCUAAUUAAAAAAAACUGCUAAAUAGAUUCAAAAUUUUGUCCUGAAUUUAAAAACACCCAGUGUUUACAUGCUGUUUUGCUUUUUUUGAAGGUUAUAUGGCUAUAAGUACAAGUAGGAAAUUGCUGUUUUAAUAUAUAUUGUUUUUAAAUGUAUCAAUAGUGACAUUGUAACACUAUUAUCUGUCAUAAAUCUCUGAAUCACACCCCACAUCUACAUUUUUUUUUUUAAGUAGACAACCCAGGUUAUUCAAUAUGGGGUAUGUCCAGUCUUUUUUAGAAGCCACUUAGUCACAAACACUGGCCAAAUGUAGCAUUUAUAUUUGUUUCCGUGUUAAAAAUGCAAAAAAACGCUAACUUUGGCCAGUGUUUGUGACUGUGGCGACUAAAAAAGGCUGAACAUAUCCCAUUUGCAAUACCUUGUGUUGUCUUAUUUUGCAAAUGGUAUACCAUCAUGGGGGUAAUUCUCAUUCCUGGGCUACCAUACGCUCUCAAAGGCAACAUAACCAAUCUGACAAAUUUCAAUAAAAAAAAAGUAAAAUCAAGCCUUAUAUUUGACCCUGUAACUUUCAAAAACAUUAUUAAACCUCUACAUGUGGGGUACUGUUAUACUCGGGAGAAUUCGCUGAACACAAAUAUUAGUGUUUCUGAACAGUAAAAAGUAUCACAGCAAUAAUAUCAUCAGUGAAAGUGCCGUUUGUGUGUGCAAAAUGCAAAAAACGUCACUUUCACUGACAAUAUCAUCGCUGUGAUAUGUUUUACUGUUUUGAAAUACUAAUAUUUGUGUUCAGCGAAGUCUGUCGAGUAAAACAGUACCCCCCAUGUACAGGUUUUAGGGUGUCAUAGAAAGUUACAGGGUUAAACACAGUGCUAGAAAGUCUCUGGACUUUCAGCCUGGGUUGUCAGGCAUGUCUCUCAAAUUGCAAUCAAUAAAAUUACUUAAUUAUGUAAAAAUAUUACAUAAAUAUGCACGUAGAAUUUAAAUAUAUAUACAUAUUUAUAUAUUGGAAGUCUACAUGUAUAUUUAUGAAAUUAUUUAUGUAAUUAUGUAUAUGGACAAAUGUAUAUUUUGUAUUAUUUUUAUUUACUUAUACAUAUAUCAUUUCAUUCUAAGUGUAUUUUGAUAUAUAUAUAUAUAUAUAUAUAUAUAUAUAUAUCAAAACACCGUUAGAAUAAAAUUACAUAUAUAUAUAAAAAAAAAUUUAAUUUUUUUAAAAAUGUUUUAAUUUAUUUUUUUUUACUUAUUAUUUAUAUUUUGUAAUAUAUAUAUAUAUAUAUACAAUAUAUAUAGUUAUUAUAUAUAUUAUAUAUGUGUGUGUAAUUUAAUUAUACGUGUAUUUUUCUAUUAAUAUAUGUAUAUAUAAAUAUAAAAAUACACUUAGUAUGACAUUAUAUAUAUGAUAUAUAUACAUAUAUUAUAUAUAUAUAUAUAAUACAUGUAUAUAUAUCUUAUAUAUAUACACAUAUAUUGGUUUUUUUUUUAAACUGAUUGAUUUUAUUUUACUUUUUUUUUUAUUUUACAGAUGAAGGGAGACUGCCUGUCAGCACAGACAGUCCCCCUGCAGGCAGAUACACAGGCACCUAUUGCGGCCAUGUGAUCGAGAGAUCACGUGGCCGCGGGGUCCUGAUCUGCCGUGGGGAGACUGUCUGGGCAGACAGGCAGUCAUCCUGGACCAGGAGAAACGCUGAUCGCCAUCGGGGAACGAAGACGAUCAGGUAAGUACCCCAAGACCGUUAUGACGGUUCAGGACUGUCAUCGGUCCUCAAGGGGAUGUUUGCGAUGACGGUCCUGAACCGUCAUCAGUCGUCAAGGGGUUAAUACUGUUCAAUAUGUUUUCUUUUUAUUUUAUUUUUUCCAUUACUAAUGUUAGUCAUAAAGUAUUGUAAUAACAAAAUAAGAUAAUGUAUUCAAUAGUCCACUCUCUCAUAUGUGUCCACUUGUCAAUGCUGUGCGUUAUCUUUCUUACAAGGCUAAAUAAAGCCCAGGAAUGAUGCACCUGUGACAGGGAGGGGUGCAAAACCAAGAAGUUGGCUAGACACAUAUAUACAUAUAUAUAUAUAUAUAUAUUAAACCAGGGUGCUGCACUCACCUGAACAUGCAUAAAUGGGGUGCUGCUGGGGGCCAAUUUAUGCAAUACACAAGAUCCAGCGCACUCACUUGUCCACUAAAUAGCAACUUCAAUGUUGACAGAUUGUAUUAGUUGUUUUUUUUUAACCCCUUAAGGACACAUGACAUGUCAUGAUUCCCUUUUAUUCCAGAAGUUUGGUCCUUAAGGGGUUAAACUCCUAAUCUAGGCAAACAUAAUGGGGGUUUAGUUACAUUAUAUGAUCAUACAUUGCAUAAGCCUGCCACAACGUCAAUGUACCCUAUCUUUGGCAGGUCCUACUCUAACAGUCUAAUGUCUGCUAUUAUGAGAUUAACCCAAAUAAAAUCUAACCUUAUACAAUUUGUCAGCAUUGAAGUUGCUAUUUAGUGGAUAAGUGAGUGCGCUGGAUCCUGUGUAUUUUAGUCAGGCCUGUAUCAUCCACUUUUCCAGUCCAUGGUGGUGUUAAGUAAAACCACUAUUUUAAUAAAUUAUAUAAAUUUUACAGGAAGGCAAGAUUUUAAAAAUAUGAGUAAUGUCCCAGAAGACAGUGCGGAUGAUUAUUCUUUAUCUACAUGAAUAUCAAGAACAUUCUCUGUAGGUUCAUUUAGCGAUGACUGUUUAAAUAGAAAGAGAUGGGCGAUCAUAUUCUUGGAUGGGAGAUAAAGUAAAUAUUUAAAUCUUCUGACAUAAAGCAGACAAUCUGCUGUGUGUGGUAAGUCCUCUGCUCAUUGCAAUGGAUGACAUAAAUCACAGACUCUGGCUACAUUAUUCAGUAUUUUAUAGUGUUAUUUUCAGUAUCUCUUUGAUAUUUCAUUUACACUAAAAAAAUUCAUAAGUGUUCCAGAGCAUGAAUUAUAACCUCUACACUAAGCUAUGUGGAAUUGCUUUAAGCCAGCAGAUUUGUGUAACUCCAAACAAAUACCUGGCAAGAUGCUAGGAUUUACUAUCAGUUUAUCUUCUCUCAGACAUAUAGUAUGUGUGUCUCUGUGCUAAUGGAUUACAAUGCCACCCAUUGGGUUCCCGCAUGUAGUUUCAACUACAUUACCGGGAAAAAAAAAACAUGCAAAAUUCCACACGUUUCUGACCUCAGAAAUGUCUACGUGGAAAGGUGGCUUACUGAUUGCUUAUUAAAAAGUAACUCCACAAGAUGACUGGUCAUCAACUUAUACAGUAAGUGGACGUCACAUUCUCCAGUCUUCACCUUUCUGGUUCAUGACCAGAUGUACAUGUUUUUUUUUUUAUACUUGUUAUAAUGGAUCUGUCACAUUGAUAUGUUUGUGACAUUCAGAGGGUCUAUUCAGUAAAUGGCAUUCAGCUGCCAUUCAGUUGCCGUGAUAUGGCUGUUAUCACUCUAGUUAACCCAUUUGGCUAUUCAAAGGCAAAUUUUGUUUAUGUUAACCAAAUUUACACAUCCUUUUAACUGUCAUUUGAUUGUCUGACCAGCUAAAUAUACAUACAUAAUGUGCUGAUUAAAAAAAUUCAGAAUUGCAACUGAAUUCCUUUCGUACAGUUGAAUCAUUUUCCUAGAUACAGACUAGGAGAAGCAAGAUAAGUUACCCAAACACUUAUCCCAGCUUCUUCACAUCUUGUCUCUGUUAUAUUUUGUAUCUGAAUUACUUGUUGUCAAACAUUCCCAUUUUAUAAUUGUAAAGCGCCGCGGAAUAUGUUUGCGCUAUAUAAAUAAUAAUAAUGAAUGACACCCAAAAAAUCCCAAUUAUUCUUUUUUUUUUUUAGGUUAUAGUUUUGGAAACAUUACAGUAAUUAGUUAAUUUGAUUACUUAAAGAUGUUAUGGCGGCCGACUUAGGGCGCACCGGUCCGGGGGCGCACUGUCCGGAGUUUAUCUACUGUCUUCCAAAUCAAAACCUACUAUUUGAAAGUAAAAUAACUAAGCUGUAGUGUUGUGCUAGGCCUGCAGUGUUUAUUCGCUGAUGAUAAAUAAUUAGCGCUUUUUGGAAUAAUCUUUACACCAUCACUAUGAGAAAUCUAUACAUAUCACCAGUCAAAUCUCAUGGGACUUACAUAUAUCCAGUCACUAUGCUCUUGCUGAACAUUCAAGGUGGGAGUGGCCUAUUUAAAUACUUAUCUGCCUUGAAUGCUCAUUUUCCAUGUAGCCCUCCAGUAAGUCGAACUGAAGGGCAAAGAUUUUAUUUAUUUUUUUGCAAUGUCAUGCUUUCUAUGUUUCCAUCUUUUUUAUAUAUAUUUUAUAUGGUUACAGUGAGGUGGAUUUUUUUGCCAUCAAUAUAUUCUGGAAUACUAUAGGCACCAAAGCAACAACAAAAAACAACAACUUUAUCUUAAUGUAGCAGUUGUGAUGUAUAUAUCAUACCCUAGAGUCUCACCGUUCAUUUCCUUGCCAUUUAGGAGUUACAUAGUAACAUAGUUGUCCAUCAAGUUCAGCCUUUCUGAUAUCUGUUUAUGUCUGUUGAUACAAAACAAGGCAAAAAACAAAACAAAACUGUUUUAAGCACUGCCAAUUUUGCAAUAAACUAUGAAAAAAUAAUAUACUAUGAAGAUCCUUACUAUUAUCCCACUAAUUAAAAAUGAUAUCCCUUUUGCAAGUAUUUAUCCAACUGCUGUUUAAACAUCUGUAUAGACUCUGCUAACACCACCUAUUCAGGCAGAGAACUACACAUCAUUGUUGUUCUUACUGUAAACAUCCUUUCCUUUGCCUUAGACUAAAUCUCCUUUCUUCCAGUCUAAAUGUAUGACCUUGUAUUCUAUGUAUAGUCCUUUUGAUAAAUAGUUUCGAGACAAUGGUUUGUAUUGGCCCUGAAUAUAUUUUUAUACGGCUAUCAUAUCCCUUCUGAGGUGUUGUUUCAAAACGAAAGAGAUUCAAAUUUGUUAACCUUUCUUCAUAACUAAAAUGCACCAUUCCUUCUAUUCAUUUUGUAGCCUGCCUCUGCACUUUUUCUAGUGCCAUAAUAUCCUUCUUGUUUAUUAGAGAACUAUAGGAAGGUACACACUGCUGAAACUAUUUUUUUUUUUCAAAAUUAUCCCUGGGUGGGCACUGAAUCCAGUUUAAUAAGAAUACCUAGUCUUUAAGUAUGGACUAAUUUACAGUCGUUCUCCCAUGACGUCAUUUCUGUGAACAAUUCCAUCCAUGGCUUAGUUAGAAAGAUUUAAAAAAUUUCAAAUAUACAACAAGUAAUAAUAUAUUUUCCACUUGAAAAAAUAAUUAUGAUGAUUUUAUUAAAGGUAUAUUUCACAGGAAAAUAUACAAUAACAUCUCUUCUUUGACAUUGUAUGGUACAAUAUAUAAGUUCAGAAAUUAUUACACUGAUUAAUCACAUGAAUGGUGAUGUGGGGUCUUUGAACAGACUGACGCCAAAUUCAGUUGUCAAAGGUUGAGAAAUGAAAGAGAAAACCACAAAAGAUGCAUAAAAAAAAAAUCAAACAAUGAACAAAUAAGCCUUAAGACUGCUGCUAAACAAUUUAUUUGUUAGCUAUGGCAACAAUAAUAAUACUAUAUAAUGAAAGACAGACCACACAGACUAUGGACUAUUUAGGAGCCACACGAUUAUAUUUCCCAACCCCUAAAGCACAACUAAUAUUCUUUUAUAUAUAUAUAUAUAUAUAUAUAUACAUAUAUAUAUAUAUAUAUAUAUAUAUAUCUUUUCUUUCAGGAAGUGUUCCGGAGGAUUGGAGGAAGGCAGAUGUGGUUCCUAUAUUCAAAAAGGGUUCAAAAUCCUUGCCUGGAAAUUAUAGACCUGUGAGCUUAACUUCUGUGGCUGGGAAAAUAUUUGAAAGGUUAUUAAGGGAUAAUAUUCAAGAAUUCCUUGAGAAGAACAUGGUUAUCAGCAAAAAUCAGCACGGUUUUAUGAAGCACAGGUCAUGUCAAACUAACUUGAUUGCAUUUUACAAAGAAGUAAGUAGAAGUAUAGAUCAGGGUGUUGCAGUGGAUGUGAUCUAUUUGGAUUUUGCCAAGGCUUUUGAUACAGUUCCACACAAUAGAUUAGUGUUAAAACUCAAGGAAGUCGGUCUAGAUGAAAAUGCUUGUUCUUGGGUAGAACAUUGGCUUAAAAAUAGAGUACAAAGAGUUGUCGUUAAUGGUAAAUUUUCAAGCUGGACAGAGGUGGCAAGUGGUGUCCCUCAGGGGUCUGUUCUGGGACCCCUUCUAUUUAACAUGUUUAUAAAUGUUUUUGAAGAAAGCAUUGAAAGUCAUGUUUCAGUGUUUGCAGAUGAUACAAAACUCUGUAAAAUAAUACAAUGUGAGCAAGAUAUUACCUUGCUGCAGAGGGAUUUAGAUAGACUGGGGGACUGGGCACUCAAAUGGCAGAUGAAAUUUAAUUUUGAAAAAUGCAAAGUUAUGCACUUCGCCGUAAAGAAUACACAAUCAACGUAUACCCUUAAUGGAAGCAAAUUAGGGAUAACAACACACGAAAAGGACUUGGGAAUUGUUAUAGACAACAAACUAUGUAACAAUGUGCAAUGUCAAUCAACAAUGGCCAAGGCCAGUACGGUAUUGUCAUGCAUGAAAAAGGGCAUUCAUUCUCGACACAAGAAUAUAAUUGUGCCUCUUUAUAAAUCACUGGUAAAACCACAUAUUGAAUAUGCUGUGCAAUUUUGGGCACCUGUUCUAAAGAAGGAUAUUAUGGCACUAGAAAAAGUGCAGAGGCAGGCUACACAAUUAAUAAAAGGAAUGGAACAUAUCAACUAUGAAGAAAGGUUAACAAAUUUAAACCUAUUUAGUUUAGAAAAACGUCGCCUGAGAGGGGAUAUGAUAACAUUAUACAAAUAUAUUCAGGGCCAAUACAAACCAUUGUGUGGAAAUCUAUUCACAAACUGGACUUUACAUAGGACACGAGGUCAUGCGUUUAGACUGUAAGAAAGCAGAUUUCGUCUAAGGCAAAGGAAAGGUUUUUUUUACUGUAAGAACAACAAGGAUGUGGAAUUCUCUGCCUGAAGAAGUGGUUUUAUCAGAGUCCAUACAGAUGUUCAAACAGCUACUAGAUGCAUACUUGCAAAAACAGAAUAUUCAAGGAUAUAAUCUUUCAAUGUAGGGUAAUAGCUGCUUGAUCCAAGGAUAAAUCUGACUGCCAUUCUGGGGUCAAGAAGGAAUUUUUUCUUAGUUUGUUGCAAAAUUGGAAGUGCUUCAAACUGGGUUUUUUUUUGCCUUCUUUUUGGAUCAACAGCAAAAAACAAAUGUAAGGAAGGCUGAACUAUGUUACUAUGUAAUAUAAUAAAAAUCUAAAUAGUAUGAUUGGUCCCAGUUCCGUAGUCUGUAUCAACCAAUGUGCAUCCUACAUUCCAUUUUGAUCAAGGGCAAAAAAAAACUUGUGAUAUAUUAAGAUAUAUCACCAUCCAUGGUGCUUUCUAAAAUGCACCAAAGUUUGCAACACAGAACUUAUACACAGAACUUAUGUUAAUAGGGAUUAUGGAUAAAGCCAGCUCCUAUGAUACGCAUAUGUGAAAUUGUGCCAAAGAAAUUUCAUGUAAUACAUAUGUUUACAAUCCGCUCACGUCUUUCAUUUUGAACGCACCAAGUAAAUGAUUUUCAGUAAAAGAUAAUUGUGUGUGUUUCAUAUUAUUUUGUUAGAACAAAAUUACCUCUGGUAUUCAUCUCCACUAUGUGUGGUAAAUAUUGGUGAUAUAAGGUAAAUCCCUUCCCUUUUGUUAAAAUUAUCAAAUCAAAAAAUUAACCCAAAUGCCGCUGUAGAUUUUAGUAAUAAUUAGGACCAGGGAUAACUGGAAAUUCUAUAUUUCUCUAACACUACCAGGAAAUACAGUCCUCGCUUCAAAAAUGUAAAUAUUUACUGAUGUUCAAAGAUAAAAACAGAUUCCAUCCCUUUAAUGUUACAUAAUGCACCUACAAUAUGGAAAACAUUACAUAAAUAUUGGCUAUGUACUUAAAUCUGAUUUUAAUCAAAUACAGUUCUAAGGAAAGCAUUUAGAUAUUUUUGACGCAUCCAAGAAAUCUAUUAUUGAAGAAAUGUAUGAACAAAAGGGAUGUACUUCACUGUUAUGAAUAAGACUUUUAUGUUUCGUUUAGCAAAACAUGUGCCCUUUUCACACAAAGUACCAGAGUAGAAAGUGCCAGUUUGAGGUAAUAAAAUUGCAUAAACACUUUCACUUGUUGCAGAGCUUUCCUUAUCUGGCUAUCGGAGACAAGAAACAUUAUUAAAUAUAGUCUGUACUGUUACACUCACUGUGUACCCACGCAUUUAAUGAUUUCCAGAUGUGGCAGUCGUGACUUUGAGGCCCUAAAUUGUACGUAGUUAAACGUUCUUCCUGUAUCCUGAUUUUGUAUCAAUCACACUGGACAAUGCUGGCAGUGGGAAAAGAAAACUAAUGAGCCCAGGCAAUAUUGGAGAUUUCAGGAUAAUUCUGAAGAAGGAAAGCUCCUCUGGGACAGCCAUUUGCAGUGAUAUCCUGUUUCAAAGCUGGGGAUUGAUUUUAAAUAGCACCACACAAAGCAAAGAAAAAUGGAAAGGUACAAAAACAGAGCCACAAAUAAACUGGAAAAAUUGUCAUGGCUAAAUUAAAAAUUCUUGAUUUUUGCAAAGUGUAGAUGUAAAGAUCUGUUGUAAUUGUGAAAAGCAUUAUCAGAUUUUUUUUAUGAAAUACAAAUAGCUUGUGCCAUGUGCAUAGUAUACGCAACACGUGUAACUAGGUAAUGGUUUUGAUCGCGAAUGUGAACAUUUUUUUUAUAGGACAUUGUAUUGUGUACAUUAUAUAUUUUCAUUAGUGCCUACCUCAUUAGUGACUGACAGAUUUAAUGCAUUAUUUAAUGCAUUAUUAACUAGAAUACUGCUCGCUCCCAGGUUGAUAAAAUUGCUAGCAGGGCCGGAUUUGCAUGGUAGAAAUAACAAUAACCCCAAGGCACACCAAUUUGCACAUAAAAAAGAGUUUAUUCAUACAUACAAAGUACAUCAGAAUAUCUUAACAGAAGUAAAGUGCAUAGUAUAGUGCAUAGCCCAUUAAUAGUACCAAAAACCACAGUACUAGAGUGGUAGAUGCAAUCACCCAUUAAAAAGGUAUACUGACCAAGAGCAGGAGAAAUAAAAACCCUGACCCGGAUUUACAUGGCACAGAAAUCAAAGACCAUCCAGCCUCACCCCCCAAAAAAGGAGGAUAAUAUGAGUUUAACCCCUUAAAGACCAAACUUCUGGAAUAAAAGGGAAUCAUGACCUGUCACACAUGUCAUGUGUCCUUAAGGGGUUAAAGGAGCACUAUAGUGCCAGGAAAACAUACUCAUUUUCCUGGCACUAUAGUGCCCUGAGGGUGCCCCCCACCCUCAGGGUCCCACUCCCGCCGGGCUGGAUGGAGAGGAAGGGGUUAAACAGCAGACAGGAGGAGACUCUCCUCCUAUUUUCCCCAUCAUCGGCUGAAUGCGCAUGGGACUUGGGACUAAUAAAAGAGUUUAUUUAGGUUUUGGAGAGAUUAAAAUUAGGGUUAGGGAUAAGGGGUGUGUAUGGUACAGGUAUGUGGAGUUUUUUAGGGUUAUUUGCAACGUACUCCUCCUCCUACGAUUUACAGUAGAACUUCAGGAGCGGUUAUACAGUGUGCACCCCCUCCUUUCACAAAGUAAAGGAAGUUUCACUGGGUGACAGCAUUCUUACAAUCAGGAAGGGGGAGGAGUGAACGGGCUCUACCAUUUCACUGUCAGCAUUACAUUAACAGUCCAUAGAUUGAUAAACAUUACUAUAGCAAUUUUAAAUAACUUUAUUUUAGAAAUACAUAAUUUAACUGUAUUUACUAUAUGCUGGCAUAUCACUCAAAGCAGACAUGCUUUUCACAUUCUGUUGCCAUUUUCAGCAAUGCCUUACAAAUACCUAUAAGCAAGGUUUUGGGGUAUUGUAUUUAUAUAUCUGUGUUUUAUGUGAGAGCAAUUGCAUUUUUGCUUUAAUACUAACAUUUCAGACUCUGUGUGACGAUAAAGGACACUGUAUACUGUCUAAGGCUUUUCAUUUCCCAAAUAUUUUUUAUAAAGGAUGGACAAAUAAGUAUAAAAUACAAAUGGUGUAAAUGUACAUAUUUUUUAAUUUUAUGCAAAACUGCUGUGUUAUAAUGUGUUUAUAUGAUAGCUAUAAACUCCUUGCUUUAACCCCUUAAAGACAGAGGCAAUUGUACACAUUCUGAUCAAAACAAAAUGUAAACAAAACCAUUCAUUUGUGCUAUAUGUCUGUUCAACCGUUAAUCACCUUUCAUAUUACAGUAUAUGCACCCCCACUUAUUAUAUAACAUUUUUUUUAGGAGAAAGAAGGCUUUUUUUGCAUAUCAAAUAUUUAAUUACAAAACAAAAUUUAAUAUGAAUAAAAUAAAAAAAUAAAAAGUGUUGAAAACUAAGAAAUGUUGUUAUUUUAUUAGUUCUGUGGGGCAUUUUAACUGUUAGCCUUUACUGAAAUAAAAUAUACAUAUUUGUAUUUUGCAAUGUCUCACGAGUGCAAAAGUACCCCCCGUGUACUGAUUUUAUUGUGUUUUAGAAAGUUACAGGGUCAAAUAUAGGGAUUCCCCCUUUCCAGUUAUUACACACAGAUUGGUUAUGUUGCCUUUGAGACAGUAUGGUCGCCCAGGAAUGAAAAUUACCCCUAUCAUGGCAUACCAUUUGAAAAGGAAACAACCCAGGGUAUUCAAAAUUGGAUAUGUCCAGUCUUUCUUAGUAGCCACUUAGUCACAAGCAUUCAUAUAUGUUUUUCUGCAUUUUUUUACACAAAAACAGCAUUUCACUGGGGAUUUUAUCGUCCUGAUAAGUUUUACUGCUUCAAAACACAUUUGUGUUCAGCAAAGUACCACCUAUGUACAGGUUUUAUGGUGAUUUGCAAAGUUACAGGGUCAAAUAUAGGGCUUGCAAAUUAGUCAGGCAGGGCCCUCAAAAUGUAACUAGUAAAAUCACAUAAUUAUGUGAAAAGAUAUGGAUAUAAAUAUAUAUAUAUAUAUAUAUAUAUAUAUAUAUAUAUAUAAAUAUGAAAAGCACUCUAGGGACUUCAUAUAACGUGAAAAUAAGUAAACUUAGCUUUAUUCAGCAACUGCCAAAAGUGAUCAACGUUUCAGUCCCAUGUCGGGAUAACUUUUGGCAGUUGCUGAAUAAAGCUAAGUUUACUUUUUUUUCACCUUAUAUGAAGUACCUAGAGUGCUUUUCAUAUUUUUCAUAUUUUUCUAUCUAUUAUUUGUGCUGACAAGCACUGGGCUAUACAUACUUCUGUACUGGAGUGCAAGCAUUGGACAAUAUUAUAUAUAUAUAUAUAUAUAUAUAUAUUUAAAGUCUAUGUGUAUAUUUAUGUAAUUGUAUAUAUAUGUAUAUAUAUAAAUAUAUAUAUAUAUAUAUAUAUAUAUAUAUAUACCCAGGACAUACUUGAAAACAAGAGAAAUCUCAAUGUAUCAUUCCUGGUAAAAUAUUUUAAAAUAUAUAUAUAUAUUAUAAUAAUAAUUUUUUAAAAAUUUAAAAAAAAAUAAAAAAAUAAAAAUAUAUAUAUAUAUAUAUAUAUAUAUAUUGUUUUUCCAUAUAUAUAUAUAUAUAUAUAUAUAUAUAUAAAUCAAUAAAGGGAGCACACCAGGACUUCAAUAUAGUGCAAAAAGUAUUUACUGUAUCCAAAACAUGAUACAAAUUCUGUGCAAAGAGAAUCAACGUUUCGACCCUGCUGGGGUCUUUAUCAAGAUCACAGUGAAGUGUGGUUAUAGUGAACAAUAUAUACAUACAGAUAAAAUGUCGCUUACCAAUCAGAUAUUCGAGACCCCGAUCAGCUACCGAAACCGGAAGUGAGAAGACCACGUGACCAGUGCAUAUCAUGUGACUAGGUUGCCAAGUAACCUACGUGUUAAUGCUACAAACAGAGGAUCGGGCGGCCGGCGCCGCCGUGAUACCCGGAAGUGCUCAAACCACGUGGGAGUGGUCAUGUGACAGAGAUUCAUGUAACGAGGUUGCUAAGCAACCAAUCUAACAAUGUUUAAUUCUUCCUUCUCUAUCCGGAGAUCGAAGAAGCAGAUAACAAAUUCUACAUAUGGAGGACAGAAUCAAAUAAAGGCCCCACUAUACGGAUGAUCCAUAAGUGAAAAAAGUGCAAAGUGCCAAAGAUCAUAUACAUGUGCAAAUCAGUGAAAGAAGUAUAUAUAAACUACAAAACAGAUCAAUCCCUACUGGGGAAAUACAAAAUCAAUACUACACGUACAAAAUUCUAGAUAUAUACAUAUAUGCAUCAACAGUGCAUUAUAUUGUGCUAUAGUCUACCCAAUAAUUAGAACAAUAUUUCUCUUAUUAGUAUACUGAUAUUUAAUCUAUUGAAAUCCAAGCAGAAGCAUAGAGCAUACUACACGCUCUGUGUGAGUAUAGAGCAAGGACUCUAAGUCCUAAAUGUGUACUAGUAGGCUCUACGUCCUACAUACCAUACGGCACUGACCAUAUCCUAUCUACAUUUACUCUCCAUGGUCAAUCUACAUUCAAAUAUAUGCAACAAAUGCACUGUUGAUGCAUAUAUGUAUAUAUCUAGAAUUUUGUACGUGUAGUAUUGAUUUUGUAUUUCCCCAGUAGGGAUUGAUCUGUUUUGUAGUUUAUAUAUACUUCUUUCACUGAUUUGCACAUGUAUAUGAUCUUUGGCACUUUGCACUUUUUUCACUUAUGGAUCAUCCGUAUAGUGGGGCCUUUAUUUGAUUCUGUCCUCCAUAUGUAGAAUUUGUUAUCUGCUUCUUCGAUCUCCGGAUAGAGAAGGAAGAAUUAAACAUUGUUAGAUUGGUUGCUUAGCAACCUCGUUACAUGAAUCUCUGUCACAUGACCACUCCCACGUGGUUUGAGCACUUCCGGCCGCCCGAUCCUCUGUUUGUAGCAUUAACACGUAGGUUACUUGGCAACCUGGUCACAUGAUAUGCACUGGUCACGUGGUCUUCUCACUUCCGGUUUCGGUAGCUGAUCGGGGUCUCGAAUAUCUGAUUGGUAAGCGACAUUUUAUCUGUAUGUAUAUAUUGUUCACUAUAACCACACUUCACUGUGAUCUUGAUAAAGACCCCAGCAGGGUCGAAACGUUGAUUCUCUUUGCACAGAAUUUGUAUCAUGUUUUGGAUACAGUAAAUACUUUUUGCACUAUAUUGAAGUCCUGGUGUGCUCCCUUUAUUGAUUUAUAUAUAUUGGAACGCGGGAUUGCACCUAGGCAGUUGAUUCCAGACCAGAAGAAUUUUUAGGAGGAGUGCCUUGCCCAUUCAUUUUUUGUAUAUAUAUAUAUAUAUAUAUAAAAAAUAUCCAACGAAUAGCUGCACUCACGGUGAUUAAAAAGUAAAAUUUAUUAGAAAUGGAUUAAAACAUCAAUGAUCAACGUUUCAGUCCGUCCAGGACUUUCCUCAGGAUCAAUAAAAAGAUGAAAAACAAUAUAUGCACAAAACAGGACAUUUAUACAUAGAUCUAUUAAGGAUGUAAACUUACCCCAGGUGAAAACCGCCAUACUAUCGGCGUCUCAAUCCGUUCAGUGCGCCUGUGCGAACCGACCCCGCCCCCCGUCAUGACGUCAUGACGUGAUCGUGGCCAGGUCAUUGCCAUAGUGAUGCUAAAUAACAAAGCGUCACAGCUAUUAGACGUAUGCCGGCAAACAGAUCGCCAUGACCAUUGCCAUGGUGAUACUGAUAAACACAGCAACUCCAUCGGCACUAGAUAAGAGAGGGCUCACUCGGGAUGAAACAUUAAUAUGAUCAAAAAAGCAUGUGAAAAAAAAAAUGUAAAAACAAUGUAGAAAUGUGGGUGUACAAUGUCUAAGUGAACUAUACAAUAUAUUAGAUUAAUAGUUGUCAGUGCAGUUAUAGUGUUUUAAGAUAUGGCAUAUUUAAAUGAAUGUGUGUACAAAUUCCAUAUCAUAUAUUAAUAGGUGCAUAGCCAGUGUACCUGAAUAACUGAUGCAACCAUGUAAAAGUGUAUAUCGUGCUCAUUAGAAAAAUGUCUAUUGCAACAUACAGAACCACCCAUAUUUGGGACUUAGUUAAAGUGACAAUGCACUGGACAGAAUAUAUAUGUACCUUCCAUAUUAAUUAAAGUGACUAGAUAAAAUAUGAUAAACAAUGUCAAGUAUAGUGAAAAAAAGUGCAAUAGUGCUAAGUGAUGCAAUAUAAAGUGACAUAUAGUGUAAAAAAAUCACUUCUCUCAUUUUAACCCUAUGUGUAAACAAAGUACAUAUCCAGUAUCAUAAAUACUCUUAUAGCUGACAAUAUAUACAUAUCCACAUAAAACAUAUAAACAAAUAUAUAUAAAAAUACUGGGAAUAUGCCGUCAGGGCUUCCAACAAUGUUAUCAUUAAGCGAUUGUUCGACAACCUCGCCUAUCUGGUACUUUUACUUGGACAAGUGUUUAUAUGUAAAUCUAUAUAUAUGCUAUGGAUGCUGCUAUUUCAGCUAUCCAAUAUCAAGAACCUAAAUUGAAAAUAGUCGUUGUAUCCCCGGCGACAUAACCCAGCAUUAUAUAUUAAAAUCAAAGAACCAAUACCUGGGGCAAAACUUUGGUUAAGUCAAUACAUAUACAUUUGUACAUAUAUGAAUUUAUGCAUUAAUCCCAAUGGUGCAGUUCAAUACUACACUAAGGAGCUAUAAGAACGAGUGAAAGGAAAUGCACUCAUUUAAACCCUUAGGAAACACCGUGUCCAGCUCAUAAAUCCAAAAUGUCUCUCUGUUUAAAAGCAAUUUCCCCCUGUCCCCAGCACGUCUUGAUAUUGGGACAUGGUCAAUCACUAUGAAUUUUAGUGUGGUCAUCGGAUGGUUAAAAUCCAGAAAAUGUUUCGCCACCGGUUUGUCCGAUACACCAUCCCUAUAGGCCAAUUUAAUACUGGAUCUAUGUCCCCUGAUCCUUUCGCAUAAUGCCGUCUCAGUCUUUCCAAUGUAUGCUAACCCACACGGACAAGUGAGUUUGUAUAUCACGUGGGUGGUUUUACAAGUGAUAGUACUUCUAAUGAUGUAUUUCUUGUUAGUAUGAGGAUGCUGGAAAAACUUUGAAGGGGUCAUGUGUCCACAUGUUACACACCCCAGACAGCGAACACUACCUCUAUAUUGUAUCGUAGUGUUAUCUGUAUAACUCAGGAUGGGGUCUGUAUGAACCAGCAGAUCUUUCAAAUUUUUGUUUCUCUUGAAACAAACUAAAGGUUGUUCCGAGAAGACCUUAGGGAGAGUGUCAUCUGCAGCCAAUAUUCUCCAGUUCUUUCUAAUGAUCGAGGACACUUGACUGGUAGACCGAUGGAAUGUAGUGGGAAAAACCAUUCUUUGUGCUGUCGCUGUCGCCUUAGGUUCUCGAGGGGCUCUAGCCUCUCUUAAUGCUUUCUCAAGGGUGGAGCGUUGGUACCCACGUUCCAAAAAUGUAUUGGUCAUUUCACUCAAUUGCCUCUCCUGAACAUUCUCAUCGGAGUUGUUUCUCAUCACCCGCAGAUAUUGGGCUUUUGGAAGAGAAUCCUUCAAACCUUGAGGAUGGGCACUGUGUGCAUGAAGGAGAGUGUUACGGUCCGUAUCUUUUGUGAACAAACUAUAUUCCAAUUUGUUGGUACCUACAGAUAAUUCAAUAUCCAAGUAUUGGAUUUUUUCUAUACUAAUGUUUGCUGUCAUUUUUAUAGGUAUUUGUAGCUUGUUGAGAUCUUCAACCAUCUUGUGUGCUUCCAUUAUGGUGCCGUUCCAAACAAUCAGAAUAUCAUCAAUAAAAUGGUAAUAACCUUGUAUUAAAUGGCCGUAUGGUAAUAGGAUGUUCUUCUGUUCAUAUACAUACAUGUACGCGUUAGCGUACAUGGGGGCCAUUGCCGCCCCCAUUGAUGUGCCCGAAACCUGUAGAAACCAUUGAUUUUCAAAACGGAAAUAAUUACGUUCCAGAGUAAUAGCCAAAAUUUCCAACACAAAUUCUAUAGGUGGACCUUCAUACACUGUAGAAGCUGUGAGUACUUGGCGCAUCGCUUCAAUCCCUUCUUCGUGUGGAAUUACAGUGUAAAGGCUCUUUACAUCCAUAGUGAUUAACACAGGUUUGGCCUCCAUGAAAGUAAUCUCCUUGAUUUUAUUCAAAAGCAUAGGUGUAUCCUUUAUACAGGUUUCUAGUUGUUCUACCGUUUGUUUAAACAAAAAAUCGAGCCACUUGGCUAAAGGUUCUAGGAUUCCCUUAAUUGCUGACACAAUUGGACGUCCCGGAGGGUUCUGAGCAUCCUUGUGGAUUUUUGGAAUACUGUAGAUGAUUGGGCUACGAGGAUUCUUUUGAUUCAAAUAUUGAAAUAGAUCCAAGUCUAUAUAACCAGCCCUUAAUCCCAUGGAAGAGAUAUCAUGUAUCACACGCUGAAACUCUCUUGUGGGAUCAUGGUUCAAAGGGAGGUAAAUAUUUGGAUCUUGUAAUUGACCCUUUAAUUCAUUGGCAUAGUCAACAUAAUUCAUAAUGACUAUGCCUCCCCCUUUGUCCGCAGAGCGUAUAAUAAUAGAUCGAUCUUCAGCUAAAUUCUUUAUAAGUUGACGUUGACGUUUUGUAACAUUGUAUCUCUUAUUCACAGGGUUGCUCAUUACUGUCUUGGCAUCUUUAUUUGUCAAUGAUAAAAAUGUUUUUAUUGAAGCUUUGUUGGUAGGUGGAUCAAAAGUUGAACAAAGGCGAAAUUUCUCUCUGGUUACCAAAUCAGUUACAGCUGAAUUAGGUUUGCUUUUACUGAAAAAUUCUUUCAAACGUAAAUUUCUUCCAAACUUAAACCACUCCACUUCCCAUUUAAAUGGAUUUACCUCCGCUGUGGGGACAAAUGACAGUCCUUGACUCAAUAUAGCGGAUUCCUCCUGGGUAAGCGGUCGAUGGGAUAAGUUAAAGAUAGGAAUUAUUUCUUGAGAGGUGGUUUGCCCUUGGGUAACCCUCUUGGUAUACCCACCUCUCCUGGUUCUGCGAUUACUCUUGCACGGCUUCUGGUAGACGUUCCCAUUUCUGGGGGCUCUAAAAAAAGAGGAGUUUGCGGUGUGGACUCCUUAGUGUCACUUUCGGAGGCUGAUUCCCCGGACGUGGUAUCAAUGGUCACAAUCCAGGGUUUGACAAUUCUUUUACGUUGUCGUCUUGGUCUCUGUGUAUUGUUACCAGAUAACCAUCUGUAGACUCUAUGGUCCAGGUAGUCCUGUUGGACUCUCUCAAAUUUUUGCUUUUUGGAUCUAACCAAUUUGUUUUUAUAUUUCAGCAGUUCCUCAUGAAGUUUCUGUAAUAGUUUCCGUCCCUCCAUAGAGUCCAAUAAUAUAGCAUGUUCAGUCUCCACUUCCAGAAUCUUUUUCUCCACAUCCACCAGAUCCUCCUUUACAUCUUUGAUUAUAAUAAGCAUCAUAUCCAAUGAUGCUCUAUUCAAAACCAUAGUCCAUUCUUUACAUACCUUGGCUUUACCUCGUCCAAUGGUGGGUACGUUGAGUACUCUAAACCCCCUGGGAAUCCUUUUCACCUUGUAGUAAUCCGAGAGAAAUAAACCAUGCAUAUCCAGAUCAAUCUGCUUCCUCCGUAGUUUGGACAAUUUAAAAUAAACAUCCUUAGCAGAUAAGUGGUGUGGAAGUUCCAGGCCGGUUUGUUCCCAUAAAAUGUUCUCCGCUUCCUCUUGGGAAAAUUGCAUAGUAUCUGCUUGCUCCGAGUAUGCCCCGGCUUGGAACAAGAAUUCAUCCAUGCUUAUGGUUUAGUACUCCAAACCACAGAAUAAUAGAAAAGAAAUAAAAAAUAAAUAAUAAAAAAUAGAAAAAAUGUCCUUAUGAUCAAAUAGAAUUAGGAAUCCAAAGCAAUCUACACUAUUCAGUGUUAGUUUGCUGGAAUGCUGGUGCCAGGAGGGGGUUAAGGCCAAUAACCCUAUAGACAGAAAAAUACAAGAAGCCCCUGCACUCACGCUCCAAAUGUCCUUGUGUCCCGGGUGCUAGCUAAAUAUAGCCAUCCAUAUAAAAAAUAUCCAACGAAUAGCUGCACUCACGGUGAUUAAAAAGCAAAAUUUAUUAGAAAUGGAUUAAAACAUCAAUGAUCAACGUUUCAGUCCGUCCAGGACUUUCCUCAGGAUCAAUAAAAAGAUGAAAAACAAUAUAUGCACAAAACAGGACAUUUAUACAUAGAUCUAUUAAGGAUGUAAACUUACCCCAGGUGAAAACCGCCAUACUAUCGGCGUCUCAAUCCGUUCAGUGCGCCUGUGCGAACCGACCCCGCCCCCCGUCAUGACGUCAUGACGUGAUCGUGGCCAGGUCAUUGCCAUAGUGAUGCUAAAUAACAAAGCGUCACAGCUAUUAGACGUAUGCCGGCAAACAGAUCGCCAUGACCAUUGCCAUGGUGAUACUGAUAAACACAGCAACUCCAUCGGCACUAGAUAAGAGAGGGCUCACUCGGGAUGAAACAUUAAUAUGAUCAAAAAAGCAUGUGAAAAAAAAAAUGUAAAAACAAUGUAGAAAUGUGGGUGUACAAUGUCUAAGUGAACUAUACAAUAUAUUAGAUUAAUAGUAUAUUUAUAUAGUAUUUAUAUAUAUUUGUUUAUAUGUUUUAUGUGGAUAUGUAUAUAUUGUCAGCUAUAAGAGUAUUUAUGAUACUGGAUAUGUACUUUGUUUACACGUAGGGUUAAAAUGAGAGAAGUGAUUUUUUUACACUAUAUGUCACUUUAUAUUGCAUCACUUAGCACUAUUGCACUUUUUUUCACUAUACUUGACAUUGUUUAUCAUAUUUUAUCUAGUCACUUUAAUUAAUAUGGAAGGUACAUAUAUAUUCUGUCCAGUGCAUUGUCACUUUAACUAAGUCCCAAAUAUGGGUGGUUCUGUAUGUUGCAAUAGACAUUUUUCUAAUGAGCACGAUAUACACUUUUACAUGGUUGCAUCAGUUAUUCAGGUACACUGGCUAUGCACCUAUUAAUAUAUGAUAUGGAAUUUGUACACACAUUCAUUUAAAUAUGCCAUAUCUUAAAACACUAUAACUGCACUGACAACUAUUAAUCUAAUAUAUUGUAUAGUUCACUUAGACAUUGUACACCCACAUUUCUACAUUGUUUUUACAUUUUUUUUUUCACAUGCUUUUUUGAUCAUAUUAAUGUUUCAUCCCGAGUGAGCCCUCUCUUAUCUAGUGCCGAUGGAGUUGCUGUGUUUAUCAGUAUCACCAUGGCAAUGGUCAUGGCGAUCUGUUUGCCGGCAUACGUCUAAUAGCUGUGACGCUUUGUUAUUUAGCAUCACUAUGGCAAUGACCUGGCCACGAUCACGUCAUGACGUCAUGACGGGGGGCGGGGUCGGUUCGCACAGGCGCACUGAACGGAUUGAGACGCCGAUAGUAUGGCGGUUUUCACCUGGGGUAAGUUUACAUCCUUAAUAGAUCUAUGUAUAAAUGUCCUGUUUUGUGCAUAUAUUGUUUUUCAUCUUUUUAUUGAUCCUGAGGAAAGUCCUGGACGGACUGAAACGUUGAUCAUUGAUGUUUUAAUCCAUUUCUAAUAAAUGUUGCUUUUUAAUCACCGUGAGUGCAGCUAUUCGUUGGAUAUUUUUUAUAUGGAUGGCUAUAUUUAGCUAGCACCCGGGACACAAGGACAUUUGGAGCGUGAGUGCAGGGGCUUCUUGUAUUUUUUUAUAUAUAUAUAUAUAUAUAUAUAUAUAUAUAUAUAUAUAUAUAUACAUAUAUAUAUAUAUAUAUAUAUAUCUCCUGGUCAUGUCCUGGCCAUGGCAGCACAACAAUUGGUAGCUCCUCCCUACCCCUUAUUAGAUAGGAACUUAUUUAAAUAAGACUAUAUAUACCCCCUCGCACCCCCUACUCCCUCAGUCUUUUUGUUCCUGUCCUAUCCCUAUAAAUUAGUCAUUUACAGAGACUACAAAAAUUUCUUUUUGGCUUACCUGCCAUAGUCCAAUUUAUCUGAUUCUUCAUUUCAGGCCUACAGGAUCUCCUCCAGAUAGCGUUUUUUCUGUUUUGAUUCCUGUUAAUGAUACUUUGCAUUAGAUUCUAUCCGGUAUGUGUUUUACUUCUUAAAGACAUAUUUACAAUUUUUUGUACUAGAAAUGUAUAAUUAUUUUUUUAUGCUAAUUUCAAUAUCUUAACAAAUGUAACAAUGUAACAAUUUAAAAUGUCUAAUUAUGGAGAAAGGAACAUCCUUCUCAGAUUCUGAUUCCUCAACUCAUAAUGUAAGGUCACAUUCCAAGAGUCAUAGGUAAGCCAUUUUAAAUUUCUUUACAUUUUAGUUUUCCGCUUUAUUACAAACAAAAGAGUGCUGUCAACUAAUAUAUUACCUAUCAUGAUAGUUCUACGGGAAAGCAUCAGGAUCAUCAAAAGGAAAGUCACCCAAAAAGAACAGAUGUGAUGCCUGUGACAAAUGACCUUUGGAAGGGAAACACCUCUGCACAGACUGCUUAUCGGCAGCAGCAGGAACCUCUACCCCGACACCAAACUUAGUGCAGUACAUUAAACAGGCAGUAGCCCAAGGCCUGAAAGAAGCUGGUAAAACAAGAAAAAGACCAAGGUAUCCUGACCCACUGGAAUAUUCACAAGACGAAUCAUCAGAUGAACCCAUGGAUAUGGAUUCUUACAGGGACAAGACUUCUUCUUCUGAGGAAGAAUCUUAGCUUGCUCCAAAUUCCCUUGAAUCAGCUCUUGUGGAUCACCUAAUAUUCAGAGUCAACAAGUCCGUAAACUUAAAGGAAACUUCUAAAGUAGAACCCUCCACUUCUAGCCGUUACUUCUCGGAUCUGAGGAUAAAAGGAGUAACCUUUGCUGUGCAUGAUACCAUUAAAAAUCUAAUCAUGGAAUCUGUCUAACACAGAUUAAAAGCUGUCAGCACAAGGGAAAAUAUCACGUCUAUACCCAUUUGAGAAAAUGGUCUCUAGCAACUGGGAUUCCGCUCCAAAAGUAGAUGCGGCAGUGGUUUAUACUUGCCAAAUCGAUCGACUGGACAUAAGAGGUAAAGGAGAGGUCGGAAUCAAAGAGAACACCUAGGCAGCGAGCCUGUGAGAUAGAUGUGAUGGUGGCGCCAUAGACUUGGAGGGAGAGAGACACGGGAGUAGCAACACUUGAGGGAGGAAAGACCAGAAGUUCUUUUUUGGACAGGUUGAGUUUAAAGAAGUGAGCAGCCUUCCAAUUGGAAAUCGCAGAGAGCCAGCCAUAGACAUGAGUCAAGAUGGGUGGAGAGAGAUCAAGAGAGGACAGGUAGAUUUGCAUGUCAUCUGCAUAUAAAUGAUAAUGGAAGCCAAUGGAGUUGAUGAGUUUACCAAGGGAGGCUGUACAGAUGGAGAACAGUAGGGGACCAAGGACUGGAUUUGAGGAAGUCUGUCAAUCUCUCAUACACAACUCUCUCCUUUUGGGACAGCAGGUCAUUCAGACCAAGAAGAGAGUAUGGUCGACAUCAGCCACGGAGAGGUUGACAUUCCUCAGUAAGAGGUGGGAAGUCCAGAGGAUCAUCAUUCCCCAAGAACUGCAGAUCUUUAUGACGGGUUUCAAUCCCAGCCUGGUGGAGUAGGAGCAUGACUACUACUAUUCCGAAAGAUAUGGGAACAAUCCACAAAAGACAGAUGGGUGCUAAACAUAAUUCGAAUAGGUUAUCUCAUAGAAUUUUACAGAGCCCCUCCACAAUGCUCAUUCCAGAUAUUAAGAUGGCCUGGAGACAUAGAAAAAUGAAAUGCCCUAUGAUCAUUCAUUUCAUCCCUGCAAGAAGAAGUUAUCAUGUAAGUGCCUCUAGCACAACAGACUCACGGAUUCUACUCCCACAUUUUUCUGACCAAGAAAACAUCAGGAGGAUGGAGACCUAUUCUAGAUCUGCACAAGCUAAACAAAUUCCUGAACAUACGCAGGUUCAAGAUGGAAUCCUUACAGUCAAUCACAAAGGCAGAAUUCCCAGGCCAAUCAACAGUCUAUCAAUAGACUUGUCAGAUGCCUACUUCCAUGUUCCCAUCAAAAAUACCUCAGAUUUGCAGUGGAGAAAGGCCAUUUUCAAUUUUGGGCCCUUCAAUUUGGCCUGCGUACAGCACCUCUGACAUUCUCCAAAGCUCUGGUAGUUCUAAUAGCCGAACUCAUAAAAAGAGCAUUGCUAUAUUCCAUUACUUAGAGGGCAUCCGGGUACUAGCAGAAAACAAAGAUACACUAUUAACUCAUGGGAAGAUCUAUCUACAAUUCCUUCAAUAUCAUGGAUGGAAAAUCAACAUUGUCAAAAGUCUACUCACCCUAUCUCAGAACAUGGUGUAUCUGGGAGCACUGUUCAAUACAGCCAAAGGCAAAGUACAACUUUCAAAAGAAAGAGGUAUGAGAUUGAUAGUCAAAGUAAAAGAAAUGUUGCCAUCCAAGGUGACCUCAGCAGAGAAAGCAAUGAGUCUACUGGGUUCAAUGUCCUCACUUUAGGACUAACGAGGUGGGCUCAAUGGAGAAUGAGGAAGUUUCAAGACAAUUUCCUUCUCCAAUUCAAAACAGUGAAUCUACAUCAACCUAUUGGUGCUCCAUCACAUGUUCACCAAUCACUAAUAUGGUGGCUACACAAGAAAUGUAUUUUGUUGCAGUGAACACUCCUUCCAAUCUCCUAGAGCUUCUUGCAGUACUCAAAGCCCUGAAGCAUUUCCAACAACAACUACAACAGAAAUGGGUCUGCCAAAGAACACUUCACAGUCUUUCACAAGGAUAGAGUGAUCUUAAGAACAGUUCCUGAAUUUCACCCCAAAGUGACUACAGCAUUCCACAUGAUUGAGGAAAUAGUGCUUCCAUCGAUGCAACCUGAGGUUCAAUCCAGUGGAGAAGAAGGUAAUCUUUCCUCAAUUAAUUUGGUUAAAUGCCUGAGAAUUUAUUUAAACAGAACUUUGGCCUAGCGUAUUUCUCAAAGACUAUUUACCAUACCUAAUGGUGUCAAGCAUCGAAAAAAGCUAUCAGUAGAUGGAUCGUUUCAGCUUUCAUACAGGCUUCCAAGGCUUCAGGAGUCCCAGUACCAGAAGGACUUAAAACCCAUUCCACAAGGUCUCUUUCUUCCUCUUGGGCAGCAGCUGCUAAAGUGCCCCCAGAAAUGAUUUGUUAAGCAGCCACUUGGACCUCAACCAACACCUUUAUUAGACAUUGUCAAUUAGAUGUGAAGGCUGGUCAAUUUGAUAAGUUUGGUAAAACUGUUCUGUCUGUCUCUGAUAUAUGUUUGAUUACUUGAAAUAAGUCACGUUUUGUGUGUGCUAAUAAACUUGCAUUUGAUAAUUUUGGAGUAUGUGUUUUUUUUAUUUCCCUCCCUUGGUUAUUGCUUGGGUAUUACCCAUUGUUGUGCUGCCUUGGAUAUAGCCAGGAAAAAGGAAAAUACUAUACUUACCGUAAUUUUCUUUUCCUGGUCAAAAGGCCAUGGCAGCACAAAGACCCUGGGAUAUUGCCGGAAACAAGACUGAGGGAGUAGGGGAAGGGGUAUAUAUACCCUUAUUUAAAUUAGUUCCUCUCUAAUUAGGGAUAGAGAGGAGCUACACAUUGUUGGUGCUGCCAUGGCCUAUGACCAGGAAAAGAAAAUUACGGUAAGUAUGAAUACAUAUAUAUAUAUAUAUAUUCCCACUAAUUUAUUUUUGUCUGUUUUUAUUUUCAGGCACUAGUGGGACUAGUGGGGCUGCUUGACAGCUCAGGCAGUCAUCCCCAUUGCUUGGUAUUGUGGCCAUGUGAUCACUUCCCCACCCCAACCCCGACCCAGUCCUCCCCCCCCCCAACUGGGGCUGCGCAGCAGGGAAAUCUAGAAGACGCAGGGUUAAAUAAAUGUAAUGCUAAUAUUUUUUAGUCAAAAACUGCUUGGUAGUUAAGGGGUUAAAUCACAUAUAAGACCCACUAAACUUAUUUUGAGUUUGAGUUUGAUCCCUUAUAUCUAUAUAUCUAUAACAUAUGAAAGCAGGAGCCUAUCAAUCGAUUAUGAACUAUAUGAGUAUAUUUAUGCUUCAAGCUCUGGUUUAAAGGCAACUUGGCUUGUAAGUUAAAAAUAAUAAAAAUAAAACUAAGUAAGAAAAAAAAAUCAAAAACAAAGAAAAUGUACAUGCUAUUUUAUGCUAUGCUAAAUUACACAUAUUUGAAAAAAUAAAUAAAAGGUUUAUGGCACAGGAAUUUGUGAAAAUUAAGAAAAGUCAAAUAUGGAAAGCAAAAUAUGUAAAUGGAAUGGGAAAUGUAAGAUUGUUUAUAAUACCUUGGAUGUCUGUUGCCUAACAACAUGGACAAAAUAUGCUUUUUCCCUGACUAAAUACAUUUUUUUAUCUAAAUCAUAAAUCCAGACAAGUCAGUUUUGUUAUUUUAUUUCGCUAUCAUGAGCCAUUUCCCUCUGUACCUUCUCUGCAUCCCACAGCACAUUAAGUAUCUGACACACUAGCUGGUAUGCGAUAAAUCAUGUUUCUGCUAUGUAUCUUAUUUAAAUGGAUGUCUACAGCUUAAAUAUCUCACCAUUAAGAAUUUUGACAACAAGAAUAUGUAUUUUUAAAUAAUAAUUAAUUGGCAAUUACAUUGUAUCUGUGAUUAUUUUUAUUUUUUUUUAAACCAUGAAACAAUCACUUUUAAAUAUAAGUUUCAGACCCCUUGAUAAAGACCAUGCAGGUAUUAUAUUCCAAUUUCAAGGCUCAGAUACAACUCUCAGGUUCCUACUGCAUACCUUUCAGAAUACAAAACGGUACUAGACAGGGUUGCCUCCUGUCUCCAAUUCUGAACCUUAUUAGGAAGACUAAAUCUAUUCAGGGAAUAUCAAUUGGCCAAGAAAAUUAUAGCACUAGCAGCCCACAGGCAAAUAGCUUAAAAUAGGUUUAUGGGUGUCAAUAUGACUCCCAUAUUAUUAUAAGAGAUGUUUCAAACCUUCAAGCCAUACCAUGUGGGAAUGUCUACUAAACCAUGACAAGCCAAUCCCCACCAACGGGCAUCAGCUGGAUGCUGAAAAUUAAAUAAUCCCUUUUGUGUGUAUUACUUUCCCCCCAGUCUCCUUGUGUGUCUCUUACUUCACCCAGUCCCUUUGUGUGUCUCUAUCAUCCCACAGUCCCUUUGUGUAUCUUUUUCUCUCUCCAGCCCCUUUGGGCUUCUCCUUCCCAACUUGCCCCUUUGUGUGUCUUUUCCCCUAGCCUCUUUGUGUGUCACUUUUCCCAUUUCCCAGCCUCUUUGGGUGUCUCUUUCUCCCCCUAGUCCCUCUUUGUGUCUAUACCUGUAAUCCCUUUUUUGUGUCUCUUACUCCACCUGAGAUAUUUUGUGUCUCUUUCUCCCUAAGACUCUUUGUGUGCCUCUUUCUCCUCCCCAUCCUCUUUGUGUGUCUUUGCCCCAGCUCCUUACAUAUCUAUAUUUCCUCUUACCCAGACCCAGGCCCAACUGAAUUCUAAAUAUUUGUCUUUACUAAAUAUGAGAAUUCCCAUUGCGGUCAGAAUAUGGUAAUUUUUAGAUUGUCCCCUUCCCCAGUCCCACUGUGUGUCUUUGUCCCCUUUCCUCAGACCCUCUGUUUGUUUCAUUGUCCCCAUUCCCAUUCCCUAUGUAUGUGUUUCAUUAUCCCCUUCCCAGGGCCUUUUUGUGAGUCUCUUUUCCUGUCUUGCAUGUAUGCAUACUUCCGUCCAAGUGGUUUGGCUGUGCGGACCGCUGUCCCCUACCUAGCCUGACAGGUAGCUGCUCCGUGCUCUUACUGUCUACUCCCUAACCACACCAGUGGCCAAGAAGGCAUUAUUUUAUUUUCAGGCCCCACCCAAUGCCCAAGGAAGGGGAUACUGGAGGGCAGUUACUAUGCCCCUUGUAUUUUAUUAGCAACUGGGCAGCAAUAGCUAGUUUUUAUUACAGUAGAUGCUGGGUCACAGUUUAGUAGACAUGGCCCGACCCGUGACAUGCUUACUAAAUAUGAGCAUGCAUAUUGACCCUUAUAAGCUUUUUUUUAGAGUUUUUUAUUUUUUUAUUAAUGACUUACAGGGUUAGUCAUUAUAAGAGGCAGAUAAAUGUGCUUUUGUUGCGAAUAUAUUGUUGGUUUUAUCUCCAACCGCUGACCCGUUUAUCGUGUUUGACUGCUCGAAUUUCAGCAGUAAUGCAGUAGGCCUCUGGUCAAUAUAUAGCGUUUCCCAGUGGAAAACUACAAAAUGGCAGGUCAGCUUCCCCUUCAUGAGACUCAUGCAUUGCCAUUCGUUUGGAAAAAAAACAGUUAGAGAGUAGGAUUGUCUGCAAUUUAUGCUGGAACUGUAAAAGAUGGUGUAUAUUCACCUCAGUGAACAGGCUAUGCCCUGAUACUUGUCUUUGUAAAUACUUGUAGGGUUAUUCACUAAAGUCUGCAUGGCCCUGUACCGAGCAUGUCAAAACAAUCUGUCUGAUUGCAAAAUCCAAACAUUGUUCACGCUUUUUAAACAUUUUGCAAUCCAGGCACCAAACGGGCCUGAAUUAGGUCAAAAUCUUAGCUAGUCCUUUAAUCUAUGUAGCAUUCCAAGAAGGCAAAUAGUACAUCAAAUCAGCAAUUCAAUUGCAAAAAAGCUAAUAAAUGAUAACUUUCAAAAAUGAAUCCUGAUGAAUGCAUUUGGUUCAGUAUUUUCUUAAUAUUGAUGUUUCUGAAUCGGAUUCGGAUGCGAAAACACUGAUUUUAAUCUGGACACCGAAUGCAUCCAGGGGAUUGCUGCAGAUUCACUAGGCCCAACUGAAUUCUAACCAUAUUUGUCUUUACUAAAUAUGAGAAUUCCCAUUGCGGUCAGAAUAUGGUAAUUUUUAGAUUUUCUCUGGAUGUUUAGUGCAUUACUCUGGGUGAGUAAUUUUUUUUUCAUGUGUUAUUUAAAAGUGUAUUACAAAGUCUGAAACAUUUGAAACUCCCUGUUAAUUACUCCAUAAACAUCACAAUUACAUAUUUUUUUCAACUACAAUGGCUUUGGUAUCCCCUGUUUAGGCCCAGACUGGGGUAAAAAUUCAGCACACGUAGUUAAAGGCGAGCAGCCCACUAGAAGGGGGCCAAUCAAAGAAAAAAAUUGAAUCAGCACAACAAACAAGCUAAGAACUUCAUUUGUGUAUGUUUGGUUUUAUUUAAAACAUGGCAGAGUGUGUUGGAACGUUAUUAAAAAAAGAUUAUUAAUAUUAAAACCGAACCUUAGGGACACUUGAGAAAAUGUAAUGAGACAAUUUCCCAAUGUCUAGUAACAUUAACACUAAUUGCACCCAUGUGAUACACCCAUGACUGAUAUUAACAUUAUUACCCCCAUUUUCCCAUUGAACAACAGGAUGGAGGCAAGGGGUGGAAACAUACUUUGUCCAGUUAUUAACUCCUCAAAGGACAAUGGGAUGUCCAAUGUUCUUUGCAUACAAAUGUUCACAUGAUGCAAAUUCCCAUGAGAGAGGAAGUUUCAAAAAAAGGAAUGCAAAAAGUAGUACUGGCUAAGAUUAGUCGUUCAUAUUCAUGUUAUUAAGUGUGUGCAUUUUGCUGGGCUAAAAACAUGCACAAAUUAUUUCUCUGGACUCUAUGAAAGCCAUAUGCUAGCAAUUAGUACAAUUACAAUGUUGAAUUACUUUUUAAAUUGCAAACAUAAUCAAGAUCAAAAUGGGGAAUUACAUUUUAGAAGCAUUAACCGCUUUUCUCUUAAUAGGUCCUGCUACAUUGUGAAGGGAAAAAAAAUCAAGAAUAGCUUCCAAAAAUGUAACCCAACGCAAUAUACAUUUUAUUUCUUAAAAAGUGUGUGGUCUUGUUUAAAUAAAGCCAAAAUCAAACGAAGAGGUCCAUUUUACCUAGCUCGACAACAUUGUUUUUUAAUCCUCAAAAGAAUUGAGGGAGGCAUUAUCGUGCAUUGUCUGUGCUUUCAAUCACAGUAAAAAAAAAUCUGAUACUAGUACUAAUACAGAGUCUCUGUUCAAAUUGUGUAAUUGUAGACAAUAUAUUUUCCUAUUCAUGAAAAUUUGACACCAUUUGAACUGAUUUAUUAGAUCAUCACGGGACAGUUUAACGUGGUAACAACGAAUAUUACAAAUCAUUUAAACGGUGCUCACAGGAAGAAAGAUAUUUAACACAGGAAGGAUAUUAGUAUAAGAGACUGGGCAAUUUUUGGCUUUACUGGCUUAAGUGAAGAUGUGAAUUAAUUUAUUUUGUUGUCUAGCAUUUUUUGCCUUGAAAGUUUUUAGCAUAACAUUUAUUUAACAUGGGAUGCUUAGCUUACACUUAAAUCUAGGAUAAAACAUCAUUGUUGUGUAUGGAUUGCUGUUCAGAAAUACUUGUAAAUGUAAAAUUCUGUACAUUUGCACAACUAUAUUUAUUUACUUAUUUGUUCAUCCUUUACACACACAGUAUAUACAAGUCAAAUAGACGCGACAAAAGAUGUUAAAAGGCUAAUAUCCUAUGGCUAUUAGUAAGAAAUAUUAGUAAGGACAGUGACACUAAUUAUUUGCACUAUACAUGAGUUUACAAGCUAAAAUAACCCUUUACAAAUAGUAAUGCAUAGUGAGCAUGCUUCCCCUUCUUCUUCUCUAUGAUUCUUAAAAUGGACGAAAGAGGUUUCUAAUUCAAGUGUGCUUGAUAUGUGCGAAAUGUCCUUAUAGUUAUGUAUAGAGACAGAAUAACUGUAUAGUCGGAGCUUCAAUUCUACACUAAACAGUACGUUAAGUGAGGCUUUGUUGGCUAAGUCUAUAUAUGUUUUAUAUGUUUUUGUUUUUUUUACAUUUUAAAGUUUUUUUUGUAUUUAAUUUCACAAUUCAGUCAGUCCUCUUUCCUUUAGGAAUUUUAGAAGAGCAUAUAAUGGGUGUAUCUGUCUUACAAAUUAGAGCGAAUAAUGGUUGCCUUAAAGGAACACUAUAACAUGUUUUCCUAACGCUAUAGUGCCCCAGUCCCUAUUUAGAUUUAGGACAACCCUGUUACCAUGUAAAUGAAUAGUUAAAAAAGGUUUUACCUUUGUCUUUUUCCAGCACCGAGACUCAUGCUGCCACCUACUCGAACUCCCACAAUAUCAUUCUAGAGGCAAAGCUUCCUGUCUUCUUGGCCAAUCAAGUGCUAAGCAUGGAGGAGCACUGUGGAUGAGAUGCACGUGCACAAGGAGUACAGUCAAAUGCUUCUCAUAGGGAAAUGUUGAAUCCAGUGCUUCACUAUAAGCUCUAUUUGAUGACAGUCAACAUAUUUCUGGACAUUAUAUGUUACAUGGCCAAGUGAAUCUCCGUGCUGACAGCACAAGCACUUCUAGUGGCAAUCAGGAAACUCACAGCAGCUUUCUUGAACCUGUCAAUCAAAACAUUGUAGUGUCUGUUAAAUGUCAAUGUUUUAGAUUGAAGGGCAAAAAGGACAGGGCCAUAGCACCUAGACCACUUCAUUGUGAUGAAGGGGUUUCGGUGCCUUUAAUGAUUCUUCAAUAAAUAUCAUAGAAAUAUUGUUUUUUUCCUUAUUAAAUAUUCCAGUCAUUGUUUAAGGGUAAUGUACUUGAUUGUCAAGAUUUAUUUUACAUAAUCAGGGUUAUUCACUAAACUGAGAAUUGCAGGGAAUUUAAAGUGAAUGCAAAAUAAUUUUUUACAUUUAAGGUCAUAAUAGCUGAGCUGGACAAAUUCUCCCAAUCAACUAUGUUUCCAGUUCUGCUACUUUUGACUUCAAUUUGAAAUUCAUUUUGAAAUCCCUGCAAUUCUUACUUUAAUUAAUAACUCUGAUUAAGUUAUUUAUUUAUUCAAUAUAUAUUUUGUUUAUAUAUUAUGUGCUAUGUUAGUUGACUGUUAAAUUAACAAAAAAAAGACUCUUGUCAAUGAUAGAAUAUCAUACAAUUUAUUGUAUUCCUUGUAUUGUUAUAAACAAGAUUAUCUGAUUUUUUUACUUGCCAUUUUCUUACAUGCAUGAUGCAGGUUUUACAGUAACCAAAACAUUGCUGCUGUAGAGACUCCAAUAAACAUUUAGAAAUCCAUUAUAUAGCAUUGUCUGUUUGGACCUUACUAGAUGACCAUAUCCUUUGUAUCCCUAACGUUUAACUUGCUAAAGGUUUUUUAUAAAAUCUCAGUGUUGGAUUAUAAAGUCCAGUUGGCAAUUAUUUUCUGUUUAAGAAACAGUAGUGCUGGUACACUUUAUAUACUUUUUUGCUUUUCUUGCUCUGAUUUGUGUAAUUUUAUGGUGAUCACAUAAAAUCCGUACCCACUCAUUUAAUCGUAAU
rnacentral:lncRNA from 1 species